AGGGGGGGGGGGGACGGUAUUUAACUCUAGGGUUUGGUCAAGGGGUUUUGCUCGGCCUACACCCGAGCAGGCCCGGCCUGCGGGCACGACCGUCGACCGCUACUGUUUCUGGAUUCCGUGCGCCGCGCCGCGCUGCUCCGGGCGAAACUGGCCGCGGGGGCGGGCCAGAGAACACUCAACAUCAGUUCCGCUUGAGCAGGCCGACUUUUGUCCCUUCGUAAUUUUUCAGACUCAGCGGGCUCCUUAGAAACAACACCCGUAUCCAGUAUGUGCUAAGCCAAAAGAAUCCAUCUUAAGUCGUGACCUAAUUAGGGGUGUACCUAGGGUUUCCAAUAUACUCUGACGGCGCCGACGUCUGUGUCCACAAAUUCUACUUUUCUCCACGUUUAUUAGUUCAGGGAAGCUUUGCGCUGAUCACCUCGGCGCCCCUGCUCUGCCUCUGCCGUGUUGCCUGCAUGGCGAGCCAGACGAAUGAAGUGCCCCUGGCGGGCGAUGAUGUUAACCAUGCUGACAGAUCUGAACCGAGCUUGGAAGAACACCUCAAGAAACUGCAUCUGCAGGGGAGGAAGGUACGGAUCUGGAUUUCUCUGCCAAAUCGGAUGGAUUGACAGAGGGUGACGAGGGCAUCACUAGUCCUUUGUCAUCUUUGUCUAAUGAUGAUCUUGCUGUUCAAGAUAAACCCAAUGAUCUACGCAUUAGACCAAUUACACGAGCACGUGCCAAGUUAUUAGAACAACAGGUGAACUCACUCCUAACUGCACCUAAUGUUUCUAUUGAUGAGAAUUUUAUACUGUCUAAGUUUUUGUAUCUUUGUGUAAUCAGAUUUGAGGCUGAGGCAACCGUGGAGCGUGGAGCAGAGUAGGCCGCGUGCGAGGAUUAUCAUGUGUUGUUAUCCAACAUCAAGAUAUGCGUGAGCGAGGAGAGGGAGGCAGGCAUACCACAAAUGAAGAUGGAGGAUACAAAUCGCUAGAAUAAUAACUUGUGUGCAAGGGGCAGCCAACGACAAAAAUGAUCUGCCCACCACAAGUUGAGUACAAGUAUGAGGCGCACCAGGACAGCCUACGACAAGUCCGACACGUCUAAGGGGUGCCCGGACCUGCGAGUUCUCGUUUAAGCCAAGUCCCAUUCGGAUUGCCUGUAUGUGUCUGAGUCGAACCUAGUUUGAGUCUGAGUCUGAGUCCGUUUGCGUGUUUGGCUGCCCCUCGCCUAUAUAUACAAGGGGAAAGCCUAGGGUUAGGGUUAGAUCACGUUUUAGCUAUUUUCGAGGGUAUGGUUAAUUGUGAGAAGCAUUCAUCUGAAAUCCUAUACACCAUACUCGUUUCGAUUGGGUGUUUUUAUCUACUGAAAUUUCGAGCGUAAUCUGUCGUUCCACUGAGAAUUGGAAGAUUGCGAAACAGCUUGUGGUUGGCGGACUACUACGCAAAUGUGUGAUGUUGCGAAUUUCCAUUGGGUUGCAAGUUUGUCGUGCGGCGGCGAGUGAACAGCCGGAAGAUUUGUAGAAUCAUACAAGUUAUGCACGUUGCUCUCUGAGAAGAUCGGGCCACCCUUAUCAUCUUGGUAUCAGAUUUCCAUUGUUUACUCGGUGAGCAUAAUUUUACCCGUAGUUAGAUUUGGUUUUCAUUCUAUCCAGAAAAGGACAUACAAAAAAAUUUAGGUUAGAUUUUGCCAUAGCCUUAGUUGCACCGUUUUUACUUGUGUUUAGUUGCUGGUCGUUUUCCUUUGCGUAUCCUUUUCUUCCGUUUAGUUGAUCUUAUAGGUUUGUUUCCGAGUCUUUGUUCGGAUCCACCAGAUUGGUUUUUCUCCUUGUUCUAGUCGGAGUCGGCGAGAUCAGUUUGUGUUCGAGUCCUACUCCAAGUCGGUUUGCUGUUUCUGUGUCCAACACUUAGAUCGGUUUUCCUUUCCAAUCCGAGUUCUAUCUGGCUUCAGUUGGGGGUCGGUUUCCCUUUCCAAUCCGAGUUGUCGAGUCCGAAUACGUUUUGGUUUCCGAGUGAUAGCCUUUUCUUCUUUGUGUAAACUUACUUAUUUGAGACUAGCAUAUCUUUUGCUCUACGGGCUGCUCUUGUUUUUCCUUUUAGUAUCCGAUCUGUAAGUUGAUCCGAGUUCCGGAAAGUUUCGGACACAAGGAAAGAGGAGGGGAGAGCCAAAAAAAAAAGAGUCUGGAAACCUCUCCGAAAUUUUUUCGAGCCUCUACUAUUUUUACACUUCCGGAAUUGUUUUUAGCUAUCCGCCGUUCUAGCGGAAAAUUUGUGAUCCAAAAUUUGUUGUUUUCACGCAGCGACGUAGCUUUUGCUAGUGUCUCUCCUUGUGCAUUGCAACACGAGCUUUCCUCCGACGUAUAUCAUAUUUUCAGCUCUUCCAUGUAGUUGCAUUUGCCCCAAUUAUCUCCACCGUCUGUCUUUCCCUUGUGAGUUGAGUCAUACGAUCAGCACUAGGCCUUGUAAUUUGGUGUUGUUAGGUAUCCCAACCAAGCUCCACCUUAUACACCUUAGUUGUCGUGUGAUAGUCUUGACCCAUAAAAUUCGCUUGAUCACACACCCGUGUGUUUCAGCCACCGCGGUGAUAAGUAGCUUUUUCAAUUCACUUCGGAACGGUAAGAUACCUUGUUAUUUUCAAUUUUGAGUGAGUUGAGUGUUUCCACAUAUAUAUAUACACACUUGGUUGCUGCUGUUUUUGUGUCUACCAUGGCUAUAGAAGCUGAUCAGUACGAUGUGGCGAAGAAGCAAGAUGCUACAGCCCUGGUGCAGUUCUAUCAAUAUGAGGCGCUUUGUAUGCACUUUCAGCGUCAACUCGGCCUCAAUAUUGAUCCCCUCGCAGAGCAAGUGUAGAACAUGGAGCUGAAGGUGGACAAUACAGAGAAGACCGUGAAUGACACGCAUCAAUCUCUCACCGCGUUGCAGCAAUCGGUUGACGCGCUCCAGCGGUCCAUUGAUGCUAUUUAAACCACUUUGGAUGGGUUGCAAGGCGAUGAAGAGAGUGUCCAUGCUCGUGAGGAUGACGGCAGUCAACGUUAACGGUUUCAGCAAGUCAAUCGUGAUUGCCGAGUGCACGAUGACAUUCCCAAUCGUCGCUGGAUGGGUGGUCGUGGUGGUGGUCCGCAUGGUCGUGGAUUUGCUGAUCAUGAUGUUGACGGUGAUUUCAGGAAGCCACACCAUCAUGAUGAUGAUGGCUUGGGCAUGCCCAAGUUUACAAUUCCAAAGUUUGAAGGCUCCACUGAUGUUGAAGAGUAUCUCAAUUGGGAGCUGAAGGUUGAGAAGUUAUGGCGCAUGCAUGAGUACACCGAAGAUAGAAAGAUCAAGUUGGCGUCCUCUGAAUUUGAUGGUUAUGCUUUGCUAUGGUGGGAGAACCUUGUGCAAACACGAGAAGAGGAAGGAUUGCCCGCUAUUGUCACUUGGUUGUCUAUGAAGAGAGAGAUGCGUGAGCGUUUUAUUCCACGCAACUACACCCGUUCUAUUUAUGAUAAGUUGCAGAAUUUGAAGCAAGGUACCAAGUCAGUGGAUGACUAUCAUCAGGAGAUGGAGCUUAUUAUGCAGCGUGCCCGCGUACGUGAAGAUGCUGAACAAGCCAUGCAUCGUUUUCUUUCAGGUCUGAACUUCAAUAUUAAGCGCAUUGUCCAGCAUUAUCAGUACCAUGACAUCACAGAGUUGCUGCAUCAAGCACGUGAAGCAGAGGCUCAGUUGGCGGAAGAUGCGAAGUUUGCCGCACGUAAUACCGCUGCCAAGGGUCGUUUUACACCAUGGACAACGAGCAGCGUGUCUACUCCUAGUACGGUAUCCAGGUCACGUGGCACUUUCAACACCAAGCCCGAGGUUGCUGUUUCUACUACCAAGAAGCCGGUGUAGCCCGCUACUAGUUCUGCCUCGUCCUCUAAUUCCCCUGCUCGUAACAGGGAUAUCAUUUGCCAUACCUUCGGCGGACGAGGCCAUAUCCAGCAAGAUUUCCCCAAUAAGAGGAUUAUGCUUGUGAAUGAAGAAACCGGUGAAUAUGAAUCCGGUGAUGAGGUUGAUCCCGAAUCUGUUUUUGAGGAAGAUGAGGAGGAUCCCCAUGCUAUUGUUUAUGCUGAUGCUACACAUCUUCCAACCAUAGUUUGUACGCCAAAAGUUUUGAGUGUGGUGCCUAGCUCGGCCGAGGAGCGCCGUUGUUUCACACCAAGGUCAUUGUGGGACACGACAAGGCAUGCAAGGUGAUUAUCAAUGGAGGAAGUUGUCACAAUCUAGCUAGUAAAGAGCUUUGCACAAAACUGAAGUUGAAGUAUUUACCGCACCCCAAACAAUACUAUAUUCUGUGGCUUAGUGAUCACGGCGAGAUGAAGAUUAGCCACAUGGUGCGUGUUGAGUUUCAGAUUGGACCAUAUAAGGACACCGUUGAGUGUGAUGUGGUUCCUGUGACGGUGUGGCAUUUGCUUUUGGAACGUCCGUGGCAAUCAGAUCGAGAUGUUCGUCAUCAUGGGCGAGCUAAUACUUAUAGUCUCCAUUGGCAUGGCAAGGAGGUGAUCUUACAUCCUAUGACACCACAACAGAUUGUUAAUGAAUCUUGUCAAAAAGUUGAAGUAAAUCGUGAGAAUGAGCGUGAGAGAUUAGAUAGGUGAGCGACUCCACAUUCGGUGAGUGAGUGCCAAAAGCCAAAUUUGAGUGGUAAACAAAACAGUGAGGGAGAGAAUUCCUUAGUAAUGCUAGCCACCAAAUCAGAUUUGAGAGAGUUCAGCGAGGAUCCUACUUUGGAACCUUUUGUGCUUAUGUGCAAAGGUGUUCUUCUUUCUACUAACUAUAUAACCCCGCUGCCUAUUAGUGUUUCUCAUGUUUUGCAGGAAUUCAACGAUGUUUUUCGGAUGAAGUCCCCGCUGGUUUGCCACCAUUGAGAGGGAUUGAGCAUCAAAUUGACUUGAUUUCAGUAGCGUCGCUGCCCAAUCGUCCACCAUACCGUACGAACCCCGACGAGAUGAAGGAAAUUCAGAAACAAGUACAACCGCUUCUCGACAAAGGUUAUAUUCGCGUAAGCUUAAGUCCUUGUGUUGUUCCUGUUAUUUUAGUGCCUAAGAAAGAUGGUACUUGAUGCAUGUGUGUAGAUUGUAGAGAGAUUAAUAACAUCACUAUUCGAUAUCUAUCGUGGCGGUGUCACGGUAGAUGCCAUAGGAUGGCUUAACUUGGGGCCGAUGGACGAUGGAGGAUCCGGAGGAGGGAGGACGUGGAGGGAAACACGCAUAAAUCACACAAGCACACACAGAUCUACCCAUGUUCGGAGUCCUCUUGCCGAGGUAAGACUCCUACUCCUGCUUUCUUGUAUUAGCCGGGAUAGACAAGCUAUACAAUGGCGCUCCUUGAGCUGUAUUCUUAAGGAAGAAGAAGAAGAAGGGGAAAAAUCCUAGAUGUCUAAGUGCUCAGUCCCUCUCCACAGACAUGUCACACUGACAUGUGGGUCGAGUCUAACGUCAUCUUCUUUGGGCCCCGCCGGGCACGCGGCUUGGUUCCCUCCAGGUAGCACCGCAGGGGACAAGACAACUUUACUUUUCCCUGGCAUCUUGCAACGAGUAUAGCUAUCCUCUGCCGGCUUCCGUCAGAGAUUCUCUUUCGGUGCUUCUUUUGUGCAGUCACCUGGCACCGGUACGUAAGCGCUGACUGCUUUUCUGAGAUAAUGAUGGCGCUGCUUUACUCUGCACUGUGUGGUCAGGAUAAGACCGUUGAGAGAUCUCGGCCAUCGCCGAGAUGAAGGUGCUCGUUCUUAUCCUGCAAACUCAUAAGACAAGAUAGUCAUGCCGGCAUACGCCCGGGAUGCCGGCUUAGUGUUAGUUUGACGUUACGAUGCCGGCAUGCAUAACCAUGCCGGCUUUGCCUCCGUCAUCUCGGCUAGAGCAUGUCGUCAUGACCCUACCCGGGGUUAUACCCCCGACACUAGUCCCGAAGCUGUUGCGGUUCGGCAGGGAAGAAUGUUGGGCCACGACAGUUUCCCAUAGACAAACCAUUAAAGCCUACGAGGGCUUAGCCGAGGAGGAUGCCGAGACAACCCCGAGUUCUCUUACCGAGAUCAAGUUAUCCUGACAUAUCGGGUCGGCGCUCUUAUCCAGCCCCUGGCCGAGAUUUCUUCUCCUUCAUGCCCGACAGUGGAAAACUCACUCCUGCCGACUUUGAUGCCACCUGUUGCUUGUGAUCUGGGCUCUUCUAAAAUAACGGGAGGAUAAGACACGAGUUACUGCCGUUGCGCUUUUUGAGGUGAGCGCGUCGUCCCAUCGGACAGUAAAGCCGACAGAGCCAUUAAGAGGGGAAUUUGAGUUCCCACGCAGACACUUAUCCUCCCGGAUCUUGCGGGAUUCUCGGCGCCACGCCGCGCAGUAACCAAGCUUGUGCGCUUUAAUGGGGUUAACGGCUCAAGAACCGUGCGCGUUCUUCCCGUUGGCCACGGGGAUCGUGGGUGCGGAGGAUCCGCACCCCAUUACUGUGCCGCGGGUAUAAAUAACAGGGGGAGGGCGAGGGUAAAAAACCCUUCGCACUCCUCGCCUUCUUCGCAUUCCUCUGCUCUCUCGCUCCUUGCGCACUCUGCCGCCGUUGCUAGCUCGGAACUCCUCCGCCGCUACGGUUUCUUGCUCUCACCAUCGAGCUUGCCGCCGCUAGUUCGCUCGCAUCCGCCUGAGUCUCCGCCGCACUUGCUUGCUUGCCUGAGCCUCGCGCAAGCACCUUCCUCACCGAAAACUCCAAACCCUAGAUCUACUCUCCAUCCAUGGCGUCUUCUUCCCAGAACCCCGCCGUCGACCCUGCUGCUCAGCAGGCUCAGGAGAGGACCGAUUCCGAGCGAGCCGGCUGGGAGGGGUCCGAUGUCACUCCGGCGGACAUCGAGUGGCUCCGCCUCUCCUGGCGGAUCCCGGAGGACGUCGAAUCCCGGGUUCCCGGCAACGAGACCGUGCCGACUCCUGAGCUUGGUGAGCAUGUCGUUUUCCUUGCUCACUUCGAACGCGAUUUCGCUCUUCCUGCUAGCGAUUUUCUUAGGAAUUUCCUAGAUUUCUUUGGCCUCCAGCCGCACCACCUUCCGGCGAAUGCCAUCCUCACUCUCUCGGCAUUCGUCACUUGCUGCGAGGGCUAUCUCGGCCUCUGGCCCUCCAUCGACCUGUGGUCCCGGUACUUCAUGUUCCGGUCACAGCUUCUUCCUUGACAAGGAGAAUCCCGGCGCCGCGAAGCCGAUGACCCAAUGCGGCGCCGCCACCGUCAUUCCUCGCCGGGGUUCUGCCUUCCCCCGGAUUCAGGGUCUUGAGUCUUGUAAAAAAUGGCUCAAGACCUUUUUCUACGUCAAGAACACCUCCGACACCGACAGAAUCAACCUACCGGGAUUCGAAGUCGGCCCUCCGGAGGAGAAGAGCAACUAGACCUAUGACCCGAAGGAGACCCUCCCGGAGGUCAACAAGAUCCACGCCGGCAUCCUUGAACUCAAGGAUAACGGGAUGAUGGCUGACGACCUGUUAGCCACCUUCGUGUAUCGGCGUCUCUGUCCGCUCCAGCGCCGAGUACACAAGAUGUGUUUUUAUGGCGGCCAAUUCGACCCGGACAGAGUGUUGACCUUCAAGCUCACUCAUGCUGAAGUCCGGCGCCGGGUCAAAGCGAUCGCCAAGACAAACAUGUCGGAGCAAUGGACAUGGGGCAUGCCGGCAUUCAGCCGGGAUCGCCACGCUCCUCCGGUAAGUUUUUGUUCUCAUUUAACUCCUGUUCAUAUCCGACACAUGGUUAUGCCGGCAUUUAUCCGGCAAAGGCUUAUCUCUGCUCAACCUGAUUUCUUUAUGCUGAGGUUGUCUCUUCAGCAUAGCGAAGUCGGGAAUUCCCCGGACAAACGCUUUGCGGCCCCUCGCAGGUCCGUUGACGCCGAGGAUCCGGACUCCGAGGACUUCAUGCCGAUUGCCCAUGCCGCCCUCGUUGUGUCAAAUGUAAGGCUCUCCAACAUUUUCUCGCAGUCCUUAUAGUAUUCGUCACCAAAAUGCUUAUUCCUGCUUUAUCCCGGAAAUAGCCGACUCGGGCGAGCGUGCUGCUGUGGCGUUGGAUCCGGCUGCUGCUGUGGCACCGGUCCGGGAGAAACGCGCAGUCAUAAAGCGCGCCGCCGAGAAAGAUCUUCCGCAGAAUGUGAAGCGGAAGAAAACUGCGGCAUGUGGACCCAAACCCAAGCUCCUGAUUGCUGGGUAAGACCAAUAUUACCUCAAUCGUUGAUAUCAGUUUUCUUCUUUAUUGCCAUGCCAGCGACUAACUUUUACUUCUGUAGGGCGGCUUUGACGGCCACGCAAUCUUGGACGUGUAUCACGUCGGAGAUUCCGGUGGCUCCAUCUCCCCGUGCCGAGGCUGCGACCCAAGCCACGAGUGAGCCCGAGACCGCAGUGGAUCCGACAUCCUUCGUCUAGGAUGUCGGCCCGAGCGCAGACGCGCCGAACGUCGUCUCAGCCGGGACAUCCGCAGCCGGGACUGCCCCCUCCUCGGCAGCAACCGAGACGUUGACGGAGCCGCAGGCCACGGAGACAGCGCAACAGCUGGCAACGGGGCCUCAAGAAACCCAAGGGCCGCAACCGACUUCAACAGCUCCAUCGCUCCUGCAAAGGCCAAGAAGGCUAAGAGCUCCGCAACUGCGACGGGAUCGGCCCCUCCGGGUUCCUCUGGCCCACAGCCUUCUGGAAGGCACCAGGGAGUUCCCCUCCGAACGUCCAGUGGGCACAGCUGGGGGUCGCUGGGCCAGUUUGUAACGGACUGGAACAGCACCGACAAUUACGAGGUGACCUCCAGCACCCUUCAGGCGGCUCGGCAAAGCCCGUUGGUGGGACCUCCACCUGCGGCGACUCCAGAGUUGGUGGCUACCCGGAUGUACCAAGCAAGGGUGGCCUUGUUUGAGGCCAACCGAUCUGCAGAGUUAUGAAAAAUUUCUUAAAAGAUUUUGCUCUUAAUUCCAGCAUAGUAUCCAUACUCCUAGUGCCUGAGGUUUAGGGCGAGUAAGAAUUAAUCGGUGUGAAGCUUAUCCCCUUGAAAUUUCAAACACUCUGCAACACUUAGAAACUCCAAACACUUAUUCUCCGAGAUUCAGAGCGGGUUUAGAAUAGUCGGCCUGAAGCUUUAGAAGCUUCAAACACUUAUUUCCCGAAAUUCAAGCCGGGUUUAGAAUAGUCGGCCUCAAGCUUUAGAAACUCCAAACACUUAUUCCCUGAGAUUCAGGCCGGGUUUAGAAUAGUCGGCCUGAAGCUUUAGAAGCUUCACACACUUAUUCCCCGAGAUUCAGGCCGAGUUUAGAAUAGUCGGCCUGAAGGUUUAGAAGCUUCAAACGCUUAUUCCCCGAGAUUCAGGCCGGGUUUAGAAUAGUCGGCCUGAAGGUUUAGAAGCUUCAAACGCUUAUUCCCCGAGAUUCAGGCCGGGUUUAGAAUAGUCGGCCUGAAGCUUUAGAAUCUUCAAACACUUAUUUCCUGAGAUUCAGGCCGGGUUUAGAAUAGCCGGCCUGAAGCUUUAGAAGCUUCAAACACUUAUUCCCCGAGAUUCAGGCCAGGUUUAGAAUAGUCGGCCUGAAGCUUGUAAUUGCCGACCUCCUAUUGCACUAAACAAACCAGUGAAUUAUUGCUUUGCAGUCCUGCAUGAACAAGCGCACCGCUACCUUCAAGACUUUGCUAGCAAAGUACAAGAAGUUGGAGGAUGAGGUGAAGAAGUGCAAGGGUCUGGUCGCCGAGACCGAGACCCGCGCCGUUGCCGCCGAGAAAGAGGAUGCCGAGAAGACCCGACGGUUCAAGGUUGUCCGGCAUCAGCUCAUCGAGAUCGAGACCAUGCUGACCAGUAAGUUGCCUUGACACAAAUUUCUUCAUCUGAUCACUUGUCCGAGUAAUAGUAAUAAAAUGCCGAGACUCAUUACUAUCCUUUGCGCUUUUUGUCAGACUUUUUCCCACAAUCGGUCGAGACCGCCCAAGCCGCCGUGAUCAAGGUGCGUAGGAAGAGGGAUCCAGCCUGGACAACCCCUUCGAAUACGACUUAGAGGAUUAUCUGGUUAGCAUUGCUAGCCGGGUAAAGCCUCUAAAAUCGUUCGGGGUGAACAUGUUGAACGUCGGCAUCUGUGCAUUCCGGGCUCUGUGGCCGGGAGAGGAGGCUUCGACCGGCAUCCCCGAAUUGGCAACGCGCCUGCUGGAGGGGGGGAUCGCCUCAACGAGUGGCGGGAAUCGGCCGCGCGCGACGGCGCCGACGAGGCCUUGUCGUUCGUACUAUCUUGGUACGACGGCAUCAACCUUGACAUGCUGCAGUCAAUGCGUGCCGGUUCCCCCUACCUCACGAACCCCGAGCUGGUUGCGAAGCGCAAGGAGCGGGCCUAUUCCUUCAUCCAGUAUGCCGACGUGCAUACAUUUGUGGAGGGCCCGACAUCUGAAGCAAAGGCCGAGAUGACCGACGGAGACGUGGAAAAGGCAGUGGAUGAGGAGAUCGCCGUCGAGUCGGCCUCCACCGUGAUGGAUGCUCCGAGUUCCGGCGCCAACAACCCUUCUGUCUCUUUUUAGCUAUGUCAGAAAAAACUUUAGAAUUAUCAGAUCCUCGGAAUGCCGGGUGCAAAUGUAACCGGAAUACCAUACUUUUGUUUGCAAGGCACCAUGUUUUUAAUUUAAUUAAGUCUUUUGUUUAUCGAAUUUCCGACCGAGUCCCCGAGUUCAUCUUUUCUCUUAGUGAAAUUUUAUGACUUCGGUUCUUUUGUCUGCCUGAUCGGCGUUCGACGUAUGAAUCGCAAAGUGAUAAAACCACCCUUUCGAAAAAAGUAACUCGAUGGAUUCGCUUGGCAAUAACCGAGUUAAGAAAGAAAUGCCGAGUUAAAAGAACGUGCAUCUUGGAUCGCUUUAUUGCUUGUUUCCGCAAUCACUUUUCAUGUGUUCGGUUAUCUUAUACCCGUCUCUAGCUUGCCAUGAAGCCGAGUUGCGGACAACAGCGAAGUCAUAGAGGGGAUUUUCAACACCGACACAUUACUAAACUGACAUAAGAUUACACAACUAAGCCAUGCCGACAUACGAAAGAUAAUUGCAAUACAGCACUUAAAUGAUAUGGAAGUCCCCGAGUUUCUUUUAAGAACCCGACGGAUAAUUUCAUUGUCUUAAAAGAUUCAGCAUAAGAAAAAAACGAUACAAAUACUGAGCUCUCAAGUAUAGAACGGACGAAGCAAAGCGACGUUCCAUGGCCGCUUGGUCUCCUCGCUUGACCGGUCCAUCCUUUUCGCCUUGGGAUCUUGUGCAUCUAUAAGAUAGUAGGAAUCAUUGUGAAGCGCUUUGCUCACAAUGAAGGGUCCUUCCCAUGGGGGUGAUGGUUUGUGCAUGCCGGCUGUGCGCUGCACAAGUCGGAGGACGAGGUCCCCUUCCCUGAAUACUCGCGGGUUGACCUUUUGGCUGUGAUAAUGCCUUAGGUGCUGUUGAUAGAAGGCCGACCGAGACAGAGCCAAUUCCCGUGCUUCUUCGAGCAGGUCGACUUCAUUUUCUCGGGCCUCUUUUACCUCGGCGUCCAUAUACAUGGUUACUCGUGGAGAGUCAUGUUCAAUGUCGGCUGGUAGGGCACGAGGAAGAAUGGCGUGUAGCCUGUAGAGUGAUUGGGAGUCGUCCUGAGACUCCAUAGCACAGCCGGGAGUUCGUCCAGCCAGCAUCCCGGAGUACGUUCCAAUGGUUUGAUUAGCCGAGGUUUUAUGCCGGCUAAAUCCGUGCCGUUUGCUCUUUCCACUUGUCCAUUGGACUGAGGAUGUGCUACGGAAGCGAUAUCCAGGCGGAUUUUCUUUUCCGCACAAAAUCGCGCGAAAGGUCCCUCUGCGAAGUUCGUUUCAUUAUCCGUGAUGACACUAUGCGGGUACCCAUAUCUCAAGAUGAUGUCCUUCAGGAAUGAUACCGCAGUUUUGCCGUCACACUUUCGUAUCGGCUUCACCUCAAUCCACUUGGUGAACUUGUCGACCAUAACCAAGAUAUGCGUCAUGCCUCCUCGCGCCCGCUUGAACAGUCCCACCAUAUCCAAACACCAAACAGCAAACUGCCAAGUGAUUGGAAUAGUCUUGAGCUCGGAUGCCAGCAUAUGAAUCUUGAUGGCAUAUCUCUGGCAGCCGUUACACUUCCUGACCAUGUCUUCUGCUUCCUGUAGUGCACUUGGCUAGUAGAAACAAUGUCGGAAUGCCUUGCCCACUAGCGUUCGUGAAGAUGUAUGAUGGUCGCACUCUACCUGAUGAAUAUCCCAGAGUAUUUCUUGCCCUUCUUCUGGAUCGACGCAUCGCUACAGGACAUUUGUGACACUCCUCUUGUAUAGCUCUCCAUUGAUGGUGGUGUACGCCUUCGCCCUUCUCUGAAUUUUGUCUUGCCGUCACUUCCUCUUCUGGGAGACUCACAUCCUUGAGGGAGGACAUUAUCGAUUGCACCCAAGCCAGCACAGGACGAGUAGUGAAAAUCGGUUCAUCCGGUACGUCUACCUCCAUUGGCUCAAUUGCCAUUGCUUUUGCCGUGUUCAGGCGCUCAGUCCCCGGGUUACCGGAACUGUCACCGCUGUCAAUGUCCAUGGGGGUGACAUCGGCUUCUGAGCUCGCCGGGAUAAAUAUCGAUUCCGAUUUUGGUGUUGGCUUGAUGGAUGGUUUGCGUUAAUGCUCUAAUGCCACACCAGCCGGAAUAGCCUGUCGCGUUGAGCCGAGUUUCGAUUGUGUGUCGGCUGCCUCAUUUUUCGUCUGCGGUAUAUGGUGAAACUCGCACCCUUCAAAGUAACCACUGAUCUUCUGAACGUGGAAACGGUAUAGCGCCAUAUUGGCAUCUAAUGCAUCCCAAUUGCCGGAAGCUUGCUGGACUACCAGAUCGGAAUGACCAAAGCAUUGAAUUCGGCGGACUCCAAUUUCUUUCGUCAUUUUCAGUCCGUGCACAAGUGCCUCAUACUCGGCAACAUUUUUGGAUGCUGCGAAGUGAAUUUGCAAUACGUACUUAAGUUGGUCGCGCUUUGGCGAGGUCAGAACUAUGUAGGCACCAAGCCCACUUUUCAUCUUAGAGCCGUCAAAAUGCAUUUUCCAGUAGUUAGUUUCCGGGGGCGGUGGUUCAUACUCCAUCUCAGCCCAAUCCACCAAGAAAUCCGUCAGAGUCUGAGAUUUCACCGCAUCUCGUCUGUCGUACUGCAGCGCAUAAGGUGCUAACUCGACGGCCCACUUUGCGACCCGGCCGCUCGCGUCUUUGUUAUUCAUGAUUUUCGAGACGGGCGCCUCACAUAUAACUCGGAUCUGAUGUGCCUCAAAGUAAUGCUUCAGCUUCUUUGCCACCAUAUACACGCCAUACGCCAUUUUCUGGUAAUGGGGGUAAUUCUGCUUAGACGACGAUAGCACCUCACUCAAGUAAUAUACCGGCCUUUGCACCGAUUUGUCGUUUUAAUCUUUUUCCACCAACAUGACGGCGCUAACGACUCGGUUCGUUGCUACUAUGUAUAACAGCAUUGGCUCCUUCUCCAUUGGCGAGGCUAAUAUUGGUGCCGUAGCAAUCAUUUUCUUCAGCUCCUGGAAAGCUAGGUCUGCCUAUGGCGUCCACACAAAUUUGUCGGUUUUCUUCAUCAGCUGGUAUAAGGGCAUAGUCUUUUCAUCUAGCCGACUAACGAAACAACUCAGCGAUGCUAGGCAUCCAGUGAAUUUUUGCACAUCUUUGAGGCACUUCGGCAGUUUCAUUCUUUCUAUAGCGGCAAUUUUCACAUGGUUCGUUUCUAUACCUCGGCUUGAUACCAGAAACCCGAGCAAUUUUCCUGCCGGCACACCGAAUGUGCAUUUGGCUUGGUUCAGUUUCAUUCGGAACCUCCUCAGAUUUGCAAAUGUUUUCCGGAUAUCAUCCAGGAGCGUGGCGCUUUCCUUGGUUUUUAUGACGACAUCGUCGACAUAUACCUUGAGGCCUUGAGUCAUUGUAAUGGGCUUGGACUCUCCCUGAGACCUAGAGUCUUGCAUAUAUAAAAGGUCUAGGAGGGGGGAGCCAGGACAAGCAACAACGAGCAAGCCUCUCACAUACACCCAUCUCCACGUAGAACCCUAGAGUCGCGAGACUCCCCUUCGCCAGAUCUACUCUGCGCAUCAUAGCCCCAGCGGCUCCAUUGUAAUCUCUCCAUCAAAAUCAAGAUCAGACAAGCAGGACGUAGGGGUAUUACCUUCCGAGGGCCCUGAACCUGGGUAAAUCGUGUCCCUUGUGUCCUUGUUAGCUGACGGAGUUGCCGAUACGCACGCUACGUGUCUUCUCCCUGAUCUAAAGCUCAUCAACAUGGGCAUUGUCAAAGGUGACCCUUCGUCAUUGGCGCCGACCGUGGGGAAGACGUGUGUCGGAUCUACGAUUCCAGCGGCCUCAUCUUCAUCAGGCGAGUCGUCGACUCAGAUUUGCGAAUGUUUUCCGGAUAUCAUCCAGGAGCGUGGCGCUUUCCUUGGUUUUUAUGACGACAUCGUCGACAUAUACCUGCACAUUUUUGCUGAGCUGAUCGUGCAAACAUUUCUGCAUGCAUCUUUGAUAAGUGGCCCCUGCAUUUCUCAAACCAAAUGGCAUAGUGCGAUAGCAAUAAUCCCCGGACGGGGUGAUAAAUGAUGUCUUUAUUUGAUCAUUAGGGUUCUGUGGUAUCUGGUGAAAACCAGAGUAGGCGUCUACAAAAGACAGCAACUCACACUCGGCAGUGGAGUCGAUCACUUGAUCGAUCCGAGGUAACGGAAAUGGAUCUUUGGAACAUGCCUUGUUUAAGCUGGGGUAGUCGAUACACAUGCGCCAUACCUUGGCAGUAGUUGGGUCAUCUUUCUUCUUCUCAACCAUGACCGGGUUCGACAGUCAGUUGGGAUGCAACACUUCCAUGAUAAAGCCGGCAGCUAAGAGCCGGGAUACCUCUUCCGAUAUGAAUUUUCUUCUGUCGUCGGCGAAGCGUCGAAGGGGCUGCUUCACCGGUCUUGCAUCUGGUCUGACAUGUAAUGAGUGCUCAGCCAACUCCCUCGGCACACCCGACAGGUCUUGAUUUGACCAUGCAAAGAUAUCCCGAUUCUCACGGAGGAAGCUGCUGAGCUCGCCUUCCUAUUUCUCUCCCAGGCCGGCACCAAUGAUGACUGACGUGGUUAUGACUAAUCACGUACUCAACUCAAGGAUACCCGUCAUGGCCCACCACGGGGUCCAUGAGGAGAACGACUAGAACUCCUGGAGUCAACAUGCCAAUCUUGACGACUCGAGAUAAGGAAGCUUUAAAUAUAACAUAUCUCAUCAUCGUAAUGGGCUUGGACUCUCCCUGAGACCUAGACUCCUGCAUAUAUAAAAGACUAGGAGGGGGGGAGCCAGGACAAGCAACAACGAGCAAGCCUCUCGCAUACACCCAUCUCCACGUAGAACCCUAGAGUCGCGAGACUCCCCUUUGCCAGAUCUACUCUGCGCAUCAUAGCCCCGGCGGCUCCAUUGUAAUCUCUCCAUCGAAAUCAAGAUCAGACAAGCAGGACGUAGGGGUAUUACCUUCCGAGGGCCCUGAACCUGGGUAAAUCGUGUCCCUUGUGUCCUUGUUAGCCGACGGAGUCACCGAUACGCACGCUACGUGUCUUCUCCCUGAUCUAAAGCUCAUCAACAUGGGCAUUGUCAAAGAUGACCCUUCGUCAAUGACGGUGCGGUCCGGGAACUCGCUGUCAACCUGUACCUUCUUUGUCUCCUUGGCUGCUUGAAAAGCCACACUUCCAUGGGGAUUGGUCAUAUCCGGCAGGCCAAUUUGCGCCGCCUGAGCCAUCGCAACAGCCUCUUGUAACUUCUUCUUCUCGCCAGCGAUGACAAGCGACUCGGCUAGAGCAAAUCCGUCCGCUGCACACUCCAUUGAGCGUUUGUAGUUGCCAGCAAUGGUUAUGGUACCAUUUGGUCCCGGCAUCUUUAUCUUCAGAUAGCCAAUGUGAGUAGUAGCCAUGAACUUGGCAAGUGCCGGUCUGUCAAGCAGCGCAUGGUACGGACUGCUAAGGCCACCACCUCGAACACUAGGUUCUCAGUCCGACAGUUCUUCCUGGUGCCAAAUAAGACAUCCACUAGGAUCUUGCCUCCCGGGGCACAAGACACUCCCGGCACAAUACCGUGAAAGGUAGUCCGGCUGGGCUCAAGCAUGUAUCAGUAAUGCCGAGCUUAAGCAUCGUGUCCCGGUACAGGAUAUUGAUGCUGCUCCCAUUAUCAAUGAGAACCCGAGUGAACUUGACGUUAAUGUCGGGCCCGAUGAGUGUUGGGUCGACCACCAGAGCAUAUCCACCAGGGUUGGGCAUAACCUUAGGAUGGUCUGCCUGGUUCCAGUUGAUCUCCUGCUCCGACCAAUACAUGAACUUUGGAACAACCGGCAUAACAGCAUUGACCUCCAUCUCUCGCCUGCGCUGACUUUGCUUGUCAGUUGGCUCAGUGAUGAAGAUCAUGUAGCUUUGGUGAUUGAAGCGAUCCCCCUUCACCAACGGUUCGAUCUCUGUGCUUACUGUGCUAGUCCCUGGAUCGACUCACUAGCACACACAGUUUCAUGAUGAAAUAUACAGAAGCAAAGGUCAAAGUACUUUAUUACAUCGCAUCAUCCAGAAUUUAAUAAUACUUACAACCUCGCAUGACCUCCUAGGCCAGCAUAACAAAUAAUGUUCAAAACCAUGAUAACAAUGUAUGAUGAAACUGCAGUGGAAAGGUAGAGUAAAAGGGCCUCAUCUACUCCCAGAGGAGAGAGCAUGUUGGAAUGUAAGCACAUGACACAAAGAAAUAUCGACGAAUCUCACUCUUCGUCAGUUUCACCUGCAUUAUUAAUUGCAGCCACUACGUGGUCAAUACAUUUGAAUGUAUUGGCAAGCUCACUAGAGUUAUAAAGGACCUACCAAGUACAUGCAUAGUUUGGCUAAGUGGGGUUUGGCUACUUUGCAUAAAAACAUCAUUAUUCAAAUCCUAUCGUUUGUUUUUAGACAAAUAGUUUUGAAUUCUAUUGGACAUGGGGUAGAAACACCCAUGCUCCUAUUAACCUAGGCACAUUAAGUAGAAACAUCAAUGCUCCUACCUAGUUCUAACCAUUCAUUUUAUUAGGAAAUUAGAAUGAGUGAGACUUUCCUUACAGCCCCAAUAUCCAGUUGCUCAUAAUUGUCCGUAACCGGGGACACGGCUAAGUACUUAGUUUGACACCCUCGAGAGGUGGUACACUUUACCCACAAGAAUUCGACGUGUUAAUCCCUUGCUGUCCUCCGGGUGGAGUAGCAACGGCAUCGACUUCAAGAAUUUUCAGAACAUGUUCACCCAAACCACCUGAGGGACCCGCGCUCCCACCUACACAACUACCUCAGUACAAUCCCUCGGAUCUGGGUAAACAUUUCUUACUCCAUCCAGGCAGAGCCCAUAUUACCAUGUGGUUGUACUGGAAGCUACUAAACAGGAAACUAGUCCAGUCUCUGGUUAUCCCGGGUGGCAUCCCACAUUGUGACGAAGUCGCUCCCCGAAUCCACGGGAGAGACGUCCAUGGACGAUCCAUCUCCGAAUCCACGGAGACUCGACUCAGAGGGACCCAUAGAAAUGGACCUAACGUCAUGACAUCCGAAUACUCAAAGCAGCCCACAGGACGGUUCAUUGAAUUACUUGUUUUGCCAUACACAAGGAAAACUAUAUUUGUAAUUCAAUAGUAUCACAUUGUAAUAAUACCACCCUCGUAUAUUAUCAUAGCAUAGCAUUUUACUACUACGAUGGCAAUUGGUGGUAAGGUCAUGACAAAGGGUAUCCUAUACUAGUAGGACAGAUCAUAGCUAGUAUAGAUACAAUAAUAACCCUAACAAUGCAACUAAUAAAAUCUAGUGCAUAAUAAAAUAAUGGGUAAAUGAUCAAAGUGAACUUGCCUUGAUAGUAGUUGGUAUUCAAACACUCUUCGUAAUCACACAGUUCGCUCUCCGAGAAAACUAUACAAUCAGGCAAACAUACACAUACAUAAACACACCAUACAAACAAAGAAUAUGUAUGCCAUGAUGCAAUGCAAAUUAUGUGACAUGAGUUUUGGUUUAUUUUAUUUGGGUGAUCUACUGAUUCAAAGCAUUGAUAAUUAAGCACAUGCGAUUAGGGUUUUUAAACAAAAGCAAAAGUUAGGGUUUAAAACCUAAAAUGAGGUUUUAUUUGCAUCUGCAAAGCAAUUUAAUUCAAAAUAUUUAUUUCUCUGCCCCAUUGAACAGAGCACAAUAAAACAAAUUUUUGGGCUCUGGUUUCAUUCAAAAAGGAUCUCUAAAUAAUUAGUUAUGAUUUAAACGGCAUAAAACCCUAAUCUGUAAUUUGAAUGUGAUUCAAAUAAUCAAAUUUGAAAUUGGAAAGUGCCAAAAGAUCACUAAAUUUGGCCAAUUAGAUUUAAAGUUAUGAUCAUUUGAAGUUACAGGGGCCUAUCUGCAAAAAGACCAUUUAAUUAUUCCGGGGGGGUUAAAAUUACAUUCUCAUUUUAUAAACCAGGGGCCACGUGGCGCGUUAUUAUUGGACGGUACCGGUUCGGUUUAUAAAUAUAUCCGAGCCAUUAGAUCUAACUUAUAAAGAUCGGACGCUCCAAAGUGCGUACCGGUUCGUUUUAUAAGUGAUCUAAUCCUAGCCAUCGAUCUAGAUCGGACGGACGAGAGGCUAGGGUUUCUUACCGGGCGGCGGCGGGCUGCCGGAGUUGGAGGAGACGGCGGCGCGGGCACGGGCGCGGCGGCGCGGGGCGCUCCGGCGAGGCGGGCGACGCGGGGGUGGUCGGGAACGGCGCGGCGCGGCACGACGGAGACGGGGGCGCGGUCGGCGGCGCUCGGGGAUGACACGGUCGGCGCCUAGGACGAGGAAGACGCGACGGCGCGGGGCGGCUCCGGCGAAGCUUCGGGCGGCGGUGCGGGCGGUGCUGCAGGGCACAAAGAUGGAGAAGGAGCGCGUCAAACGAACCGCGAGGAGGAGAGAAAGAAUAUGGGGGAGGUCCGGUCGUUCUGGGCGUACCGUGUAGGUGACGGCGAGCUCGGGACGGCGGCGGGCACGGAGCUACUCCGGCGAGCGAUUCCGGUGGCCUGGCGGCGUGCGAGCAGGGGCGAGAGCUUUAAAGGGACGCGAGAGGAGCACUUCGGGAAGGUCCGAGCAGACAGGGCGGCAGAGAUUGCGCGCGGCGGCGUCCAUGGCAGGCGGUGCGGGGAUUGCGGGAGCUUUCCCCGCGAGGACGAAGCCCUCUUGACAGUUGGGCCCCACCUGUCAGCGGGUGCAGGGCGCGCGCGCGGACCGGGCAGUCGGGGCCGGUCGGGCGCGGGCGGACUGGGCCGGUUCGGCCCAUUUUGGCCGGGCCGGUCCGGUUUACCCCUUUUUUUCUUUUAGGCCUUUUCUUUUUCUGUUUUUUUCUCAUUUCUUUGAUAUCUUUUGUGUUUGAACUCCAAAUUGGUCCAAAUAAAUUCCAGAAAUUUGUAAAAUCAUUUUCUACCAAGAUACAACUUUUGGGAGUAGUUUCCCCUCAAAAUAAAAUAUAUAAAAAUCAUUUGUCCUAUAAAUGCCGUUAGGGCUAUAUAACUAUUUGAAUAUAAUACUUUUUCAACUCCAAAUAAUUAUCCAAAAACUAUGAGAUAGCUUAUAUAUGCAUUAAACCCCUUUUAUGCAUAAACCCUAUUGGUUUGAAAAUUCCAAAGCUCAAAUGGGUGUAAACCAAAUCUUUUAAAGACUUUUGAGAUUCAAAUUUGAAUUCAAACAUGCAAUUGUGGCACGAUGCUCAUGGAUGCAAUGCACUUGUAAAGGUUUGAAAUUUUGGGAUGUUACAGUGAUGCUCCUUGUACUCAUUUCUUCUGACAUAACCCGGGAUAUCUUGGUCUUCCACCUGGUUGACAUCAUUGUUUUCCUGAGGGGGUCCAUGGAUCUGUGCGUUAGCGCCUGUGAGCGGUGGAGGGGUGGGGUGGGGGGGUAACCGACUUGCCUUGCCCUUCUCGGCCCGCUACAUCCAACUGCAUUGCCGCGUUGUGUGAUUCGCCGGCUUGUUGGGGUUAGUCGUGUGGAAAUGACAAGGCUGAUCCAGCAUCACUUCAAACGUAUACUUUGGCUUAUCUUGCCAGGGCUUCUUUUGUUCUCCCUUCUUGACCCACUGCUGAUUUCCUGUUUUCUGACGCUGACUAGGGCCAGCAUCAGGUUGAUCCUGAAUAGCGGCGACAUGGGCUGGCCCAUAUCGGUAAUCCGGCCUGUCAUCCCUUCUCUUGUUGCGGUGAUCUUGAUGAUUGUUCCUCCGGAAUGCCCCGACUGGAUUGUAUGUCGGCUGCUCCCUUUGCGGUUCUGCCGGCAUCAGCAAUGGCUGAGUUGGAUCGCCAAGCGCAUACAUGUCGACGAUCCGAAUCAUCUCAGAUAGGGUAGCUGGCAUCUUUCUUUGCAGCUUCUGCCACAACAUGCUGCCGUGCCGACAUCCUUGGGCAAACCAAGCUAUGACUUGUGAUUCCACUAUCCCUUCACAGAAAUUGUGGAGAUUGUUCCAUCUUGUCAGGUAAUCCCGGUCAGUCUCGUUGUCUCUUUGCUUGCACAUGGACAACUGCUGAGGGCGAUUUGGCCUCUUGUAAGUGCAAGUAAAAUGGCUGACGAAAGCUUCUUCAAAGUCUAUACCAGCAAAUUGAUGCUGCCUUCCGGCAAAUUGUUCAGCCAUAUCCUUGCCGGCCCUACCAACAUCUAGGGUACAUAACAUACCGCCCAUCUGCGGUUGCCGCCUGCCACACUUACUACAGCGAUAUAGUCCAGCCAAUCUUCCGGCUUAGUACUGCCGUCAUAUGUUCUUGUACCCCUGGGCAGCUGGAAACCCGGGGCUGGUCUCUCUCUCAUGAUCCGAUGUGCAAAGCAACACGGUCCCGGAGGGCCUUGCUCCUCCAGAAGCUCAGACAUAUAAAUUCUGUCAAGCCGAUGUCGGGCAUCCAGGGGCGACACUUGCCUGUUCCCAACUUAGGCUCCAAGCGGACCAAGAUUAUCACGCUCUCGCCUGAUAUAACCCUCGUCGCCCAUGGCCGAAUAUCUGUUGUCGUAAUGGUCGUACCGGCGAUCUUCACCUUGAUAAGGGGGUUACGCCCGACACCCUGCUGACCUGCGGCAGUAUUGGGUGCCGGACCCCGAGGUCGGUGUCCAUGAUCAAAUGAGUAGCGUUCUUGCUGGUCACGGCGAUUGUCGCCGGGACAUAGACCACUCUGGCUGUCAUCAACCCUUCUGACUAUCUGUUUCUCGACCAUGGCUGGGUCAUAACGCUCCAGCUGCUUAUCCCGGCCUGAAUUGACACUUUUGUCUCGCUUGCCACAGGCGAAGACGCUUGCUUCUCAACUCGGCCUCCGACAUCCGCUGCCGAGUGGAUAACCUGAGAUGCACCGGGCUUGCCGUGCAUUCUCAUGUAUGCCUCAUUCUGCUCAUUAGCUGUGCGGAGCAGCUCUUUCAUGCGCAGCAGCUGCUGUCGGAGUGCCUCUCCUAUAAGAUUUGGUAGCUCUUCGGCCGCAGCUUCAGCAGCUCUGAGAUUCUUGACAGGGGUAUUGUAUUUCGGCUUUAGCGCCGAGGCGUAACUUGCCGAUACUGCUGGCACACCCCUGCCAUCUCUUGUCAUCUCGGCAUUCAAGUUAGCUACAAGAUCUAGUGCACUGGAACUCGUGGUUAUGCACCCGAAUCUUUUAGUAUGGAACAUUGUCUUUUCUAAGUAAAAACCCCUAGUAUCUGAAAGAAUGAAAAGGUGCUUUCGUUCUUGUGGAUUAAGAAGCCCUCGUACCUUAAUGAAAGGAAAAUCGUAAUUUUUCGUUAGGUAUUUGACCAAAUACGAUCGUCUAGUUCUUAUAGAACCUAUCACUAAAAUACCCGAUAGGGCUAAGCGGAACGAAAAGGGUUUUCCAUGAGAUGGUAAAUGAAAACGAUUAGCCCCACACGAGGUUUGGGAAUAAGUGAUUGUCUGAUAAUGAGCAAGGAAUAUACGUCUUUCUGCUAAAGAGGAUCUAUUAAACUCAUAAUUCAUUAGAUCCUUGUUAUCAAUGCCAACUAGGUAUCAUAAGUAAAUGGAUCUCGGUUGUUCAAUCCUUUGAUAACCAAGGUCAUUCUUUGCUAAAGAGAAAUGAUCACUAUGAGUCAGACUCAAUAGAAUUGGAUCCAUUCCAAAUAGAGAGAAUUAGGAUUCUUGAUCCCUCUCAAUCUCUCUUUCAAUUCGAGGAUCCAGAGAGGUGUUUUCAUAGUCAUCUCCGAAUAUUUGCCAUCUCCGAAUAUUUUCGAUUUCAUUUUUCUAUGAUAUGUCUUUCUAUAUGAAAAUUGGUUAUUUACGAUGUAGGAUGAUCCCUGUUAAGCAUCCAUGGCUGAAUGGUUAAAGCGCCCAACUCAUAAUUGGUAAAUUUGCGGGUUCAAUUCCUGCUGGAUGCACGCGAACGGGAACGUUCCAUAAGUCUAUUGGAACUGGCUCUCUAUCCAUGGAAUCUCAUCCAUCAUCCAUACAUAACGAAUUGGUAUGGUAUAUUCAUACCAUAACAUAAGAACAAUAAGAACUCGAAUUCUUAUCGAUACUGGGACUCAGAGCAUAGGAGGGAAAGUCGAUUUAUGGAUGGAAUCAAAUACACAGUAUUUACAGAAAAAAGUCUUCGUUUAUUGGGAAAGAAUCAAUAUACUUUUAAUGUUGAAUCAGGAUUCACUAAGACAGAAAUAAAGCAUUGUGUCGAACUCUUCUUUGGUGUUAAGGUAGUAGCUGUGAAUAGCCAUCGACUACCCGGAAAGGGUAGAAGAAUAGGACCUAUUCUGGGACAUACAAUGCAUUACAGACGUAUGAUCAUUACCCUUCAACCGGGUUAUUCUAUUCCACUUCUAGAUAGAGAAAAAAACUAAAGGAGAAUACUUAAUAAUACGGCGAAACAUUUAUAUAAAACACCUAUCUCGAGUACACGCAAGGGAACCGUAGACAGGCAAGUGAAAUCCAAUCCACGAAAUAAUUUGAUCCAUGGACGGCACCGUUGUGGUAAAGGUCGUAAUUCCAGAGGAAUCAUUACCGCAAGGCAUAGAGGGGGAGGUCAUAAAUGCCUAUACCGUAAAAUCGAUUUUCGACGGAAUCAAAAAGACAUAUCUGGUAGAAUCGUAACCAUAGAAUACGACCCUAAUCGAAAUGCAUACAUUUGUCUCAUACACUAUGGGGAUGGUGAGAAGAGAUAUAUUUUACAUCCCAGAGGGGCUAUAAUUGGAGAUACUAUUGUUUCUGGUACAAAAGUUCUUAUAACAAUGGGAAAUGCCCUACCUUUGAGUGCGGUUUGAACUAUUGAUUUACGUAAUUGGAAGUAACCAAUUAGGUUUACGACGAAACCUAGAAAUCGAUCACUGAUCCAAUUUGACUAUCUCUACGGGAUAGACCUUAACAGAAAACUGUUGAGUAACGGCAGCAAGUGAUUGAGUUCAGUAGUUCCUCAUAGAAAAUUAUUGACUCUAGAGAUAUGGUAAUAUGGAGAAGACAAAAUUGUUUGAAGCACGCACAAAACCGGAAGCGCCCCUUGUUUCAAAGAGAGUAGGACGGGUUAUUCACAUUUAAUUUGAUGGUCAGAGGCGAAUUGAAAGCUAAGCAGUGGUAAUUAAGACCCCCGGGGAAAAAAGGGAUGUCUCCUACGUUACCCAUAAUAUGUGGAAGUAUCAACGUAAUUUCAUAGAGUCAUUCGAUCUGAAUGCUACAUGAAGAACAUAAGCCAGAUGACGGAACGCGGAGACCUAGGAUGUGGAAGAUCCUAACAUGAGCGAUUCGGCAGAUUUGGAUUCCUUUCCUAUAUAUCCACUCAUGUGGUACUUCAUCAUAUGAUUUAUAUAAGAUCCAUCUGUCUAGAGAUCGUCAUAUACAUCUAGAAAGCCGUAUGCUUUGGAAGAAGCUUGUACAGUUUGGGAAGGGGUUUUUUGAGAGAAAAGAAGAAUCUACUUCAACCGAUAUGCCCUUAGGCACGGCCAUGCAUAACAUAGAAAUCACACGUGGAAGGGGUGGCCAAUUAGCUAGAGCAGCAGGUGCUGUAGCGAAACUUAUUGCAAAAGAGGGUAAAUCAGCCACUUUAAGAUUACCAUUUGGGGAGGUCCGUUUAGUAUCCCAAAACUGCUUAGCAACAGUCGGACAAGUGGGUAAUGUUGGGGUGAACCAAAAAAGUUUGGGUAGAGCCGGAUCUAAGUGUUGGCUAGGUAAACGCCCCAUAGUAAGAGGGGUAGUUAUGAACCCCCAUGGGGGCGGUGAAGGGAAAGCCCCCAUUGGUAGAAAAAAACCCACAACCCCUUGGGGUUAUCCUGCGCUUGGAAGAAGAACUAGGAAAAGGAAACGUAGGGCUUUGAAACCAAAUACGUUACCUACAAUGGAAGUAAACAUGUUAGUAACGGAACCCUCUUCAAAUAGAUCUAAUGGAUAAGCUACAUAACAGAUCCAUUGACUGUCUUCCCCAGGAACAGGCUCGAUGUCAUAGCAUCGUCCUUUGUAACAAUCAAGACUAGUAAGUCCAUCAGUCCAAACAGUUGUCCAUGUACCAAUAGAAGAUUCGGCAGCUACUGCAGCCCCUACUUCUUCGGGCGGAACCCCAGGUUGAGGAGAUACUCGGAAUGCUACCAAGAUAUCAGUAUCCUUGGUUUCAUACUCCGGGGUGUAGUAAGUCAAUCUAUAAUCUUUAACACCAGCUUUAAAUCCAACACUUGCUUUAGUUUCUGUUUGUGGUGACAUAAGUCCCUCCUUACAACUCUUGAAUUAAGAAUUCUCACAAUAACAAGUUCUACUCGAUGUGAAUUAGGCGUAAAUGAAACUUUAGCAAAAAUCUCAUAAAAAAAAGAGAUAUUCAAUUAAUAGCAACUCAUUACAGAAAAUUGAGGGCAUGCUUAAGUUAAUUAAUAUUUUUCAUUCAUAUAUAAUGCGUACACCCUGUGUAUGUUCUAUCCUAUAGGAAUUUCACUAUAGGAAUUCGAUAGGAAUUGAGUUGUUGUUAUGGUAAGUUAACACCGUUCGUUAUUAAACCAAGGAUUUGAUUUAACAAAUCCAUCAUUAUUGUAUACUCUUUGAUAGAUAUAGCGCAACCCAAAUCAAUCCUUAACCUUUUUUUUUACAAAUUAUUAAAGGGCCCCUUUCUUAUUUUGAAAAGAAAUACCUAACUAAAUACUAAGAAAUUUUUUUGUUGACAGCAAUCUAUGCUUCACAGUAGUAUAUAUUUUGUAUAGCGAAGUCCUAGAUAGGAAAGUAGAGUAGGCACGGAUCCUCCACAAAAGGAAAAAUCUAUCUUAUGAAAAAAAGAUUGAUUGAACUUUCCAACGGCCUCAUUCCAUGAGUAAAGGGUUGAAAGGGAUUCGCUUGGGCAACGAAAUCAAGUCCUGUUCCCCUUUUUUCUCUUAUUGAAUUAACUAAUUGAUUUCCUUUUUACUUUUGGAUUUUUGGAUAUUUUUUUGGAUUUGGUAUUAUUCAACAAGAAAAAAUUAAAUUUUUUGACAAAAUCCUUUUCUUUUAUUAUGUGAUAAUUAUGAGAACCAAUCCUACUACUUCUCGUCCCGGGGUUUCCCCAAUUGAAGAAAAAAGUACAGGCCGUAUCGAUCAAAUUAUUGGACCCGUGCUGGACGUCACUUUUCCCCCCAGUAAGUUACCUUAUAUUUAUAACGCUUUGGUAGUCCAGAGUAGAGACACUGCCGAUAAGCAAAUUAAUGUGACUUGUGAGGUACAACAAUUAUUAGGAAAUAAUCGAGUUAGAGCUGUAGCUAUAAGUGCUACAGAUGGGUUGAUGAGAGGAAUGGAAGUGAUUGACACAGGAGCUCCUCUCAGUGUUCCGGUCGGCGGAGCUACUCUCGGGCGAAUUUUCAACGUUCUUGGGGAGCCUGUUGACAAUUUGGGUCCUGUAGAUAGUAGUGCAACGUUCCCUAUUCAUAGAUCUGCGCCUGCCUUUAUCGAGUUAGAUACGAAAUUAUCCAUCUUUGAAACAGGUAUUAAGGUCGUCGAUCUUUUAGCUCCUUAUCGACGUGGAGGAAAAAUAGGACUAUUUGGGGGGGGCUGGGGUAGGUAAAACAGUACUCAUCAUGGAAUUAAUCAACAACAUUGCUAAAGCUCAUGGGGGCGUAUCCGUAUUUGGUGGAGUAGGGGAACGGACUCGUGAAGGAAAUGAUCUUUAUAUGGAAAUGAGGGAAUCCGGAGUAAUUAAUGAAAAAAAUAUUGAGGAAUCAAAGGUAGCUCUAGUCUAUGGCCAAAUGAAUGAACCACCGGGAGCUCAUAUGAGAGUUGGUUUAACUGCCCUAACUAUGGCGGAAUAUUUCCGAGAUGUUAAUAAGCAAGACGUGCUUUUAUUCAUCGAUAAUAUCUUUCGUUUUGUUCAAGCAGGAUUGGAGGUAUCCGCUUUAUUAGGGAGAAUGCCCUCCGCGGUGGGUUAUCAACCUACUCUUAGUACAGAAAUGGGUUCUUUGCAAGAAAGAAUUGCUUCUACUAAAAAGGGAUCUAUAACUUCGAUCCAAGCGGUUUAUGUACCUGCGGACGAUUUGACUGACCCUGCUCUUGCCACAACAUUUGCCCAUUUGGAUGCUACUACCGUACUUUCCAGAGGAUUAGCUUCCAAGGGUAUUUAUCCAGCAGUAGAUCCUUUAGAUUCAACCUCAACUAUGUUACAGCCUCGGAUCGUUGGCAACGAACAUUAUGAAACUGCGCAAAGAGUUAAGGAAACUUUACAACGUUACAAGGAACUUCAGGACAUUAUCGCAAUUCUUGGAUUGGAUGAAUUAUCGGAGGAGGAUCGUUUAACUAUAGCAAGAGCGCGAAAAAUUGAGCGUUUCUUAUCACAACCGUUCUUUGUAGCAGAAGUUUUUACUGGUUCUGCAGGAAAGUAUGUUGGUCUUGCAGAAACAAUUAGGGGAUUUCAACUAAUCCUUUCGGAGAAUUAGAUGGCCUACCCGAGCAGGCUUUUUAUUUGGUGGGUAACAUCGAUGAAGCUAGCACGAAAGCUAUAACCUUAGAAGAGGAGAACAAAUCGAAGAAAUGAAAUUAAAUCUUUAUGUACUGACUCCUAAGCGAAUUAUUUGGGAUUGUGAAGUGAAAGAAAUCAUUUUAUCCACUAAUAGUGGUCAAAUUGGGGUAUUACUAAACCAUGCCCCCAUUAAUAUAGCAGUAGAUAUGGGUCCUUUGAGAAUACGCCUCCUCAACGACCAAUGGUUAACGGCGGUUCUGUGGAGCGGUUUUGCGAAGUUAAUAAUGAGAUCAUUAUUUUAGGAAAUGAUGCGGAACUGGGUAGUGAUAUUGAUCCGGAAGAAGCUCAACAGGCACUUAAAAUAGCCGAAGAUAACUUGAGUAAAGCUGAGGGUACGAAAGAAUUGGUUGAAGCGAAACUAGCUCUCAGACGAGCUAGGAUACGAAUCGAGGCUGUCAAUUGGAUUCCCCCAUCCAAUUGAAGACAAUCCAAUGGUUUAUAGUUGAUACAAAGAUAAAGGGAAGAGGGGUAGAAAAAGUUAUUAGAUAGCGAAGCGAAAUAAGCCCAAUGCUAUCUAGUAAUUUUUCUACCUACCUACCUACUAUUGGAUUUGAACCAAUGACUCCCGCCGUAUGCAAUACUCUAACCACUGAGUUAAGUAGGCAAUUUAUGAUCACAAAGGAAGACCCAUUACUUCGAUCGAUUAUAUAUCGAAUCCCUUUUCUAAGCAAUAACGCUUCCUUAUUGGUAUGUUAUAUACUAAACAGAUACAUAUUUAAAGAGAUACCCUCUGGCAUUAGAGAAUAUUCAUCUUGACAAUAAAUUAUCUAUAUGUUAAGAUAUCUCUGAUAAGGGCUAUAGCUCAGUUCGGUAGAGCAACUCGUUUACACGUGCGCCAAUGCUUUUCAAAGGAGCUUAUUAUGCAAUGAAUAUAAUGGAUCUUAUUGCAAAAUCAAUGUCUUACUUCAUAGAUUCGACAGAAUAGGAGAACAGUAGCCUGACAAAGAGUCAGUUCAGUCCGAUUCAGGUCCCCAUUCUGGUGCCUAAUCAAAUCGAACCCUUAUGGAUUUGCUAGUUGAUAAGGUAAAUAUCCAGCCCACUAAAUGCUAGGCAUAAUGAGGAUAAGGGCCUCCAAAAAACUUCCUUUCGUUCUAUGAACUUUAAGGUGUAUGAAGUCUCAUAGUUAACUCUUGCAGUGGAACGAUAGAGACUCCAUUUCACUUAGGUUGAUUUAAUUUAGGCCGGAGGCAGACCUAAGUCAAGGUAAUCCUCCUUUGAAACACUUUGGUAUUGCUCCUAGAUAGACCAUAAUACAAAUAAUCAAUCAGAGCACAGGGAGCCAUCUCAUUAUCUUUCCGUAAAGAAAAACUAUGGUGGACUAACUGAUCUUUAAAUCAGUUGAUGAAAGAGCCCAAUGCAAAAAAAUGCAUGUUGGGUCUUUGAAAUAGUUCGAAUCAUUUCGAUAAUAAUCUGUUUGAUCUGUUUUACCGAGAAGGUCUACGGUUCGAAUCCGUAUAGCCCUAAUAUGUCCUAUUUUUGGAUUUUAGUAUAGAUAUCCUAUGUUUUCCUUAGUAUAGCUUUUAUUUUCACAUUAGUACUUGUUUAUAGACUGGGCGGGCGCCUGCGACAUAGAAUAGGCGUAAAAGCAUUACCACAGGCUCAUUCAUCAAAAAUCAUAGAGAUAGGAAACGAAAAAGUGAUUUCUAUCAAAUCAAUAGAAGAAAAGAGCCCUUCCCUGAUUUGAAUCCCGCCCUUCUUCAAAUAGGGUAUCUCUAGACUUCCCUAUAAAAACUGCAAUGAUUUUCUCCAUCUUGCGAAUUUAUACUUUGUUUUAAGUAUAUUACUUUGCUUAUAUAUACAUUAUCUAAAUAGAUCUACUUAAAAUCCUAAAUAGAAAAAAAUAUAGAAAGAAUUAAAGUAAAGAGUAAAUAAGAAAACAGAAUAUUAUGUCUCAUAGUUCUGAAAUAGAGUUCCUUAUUUUUUUAUAGUAUUACUUCUCAGUCUACUGCAUAGACUAGUCCUCUUAUGUUAAUUAGGUUCUAAAGAUUAUAGAGAAAGCAAAAUAAAGUGAAGGGAUAAAGUAUUUUUUAUAUAAGAAUUAGAUCUAUACCAUAUCUAAAUAGAAUGGAAAAAAAAGAAGGGGAGUUGGGAUUCCAUUGGAUGAAUCUUUAAAGAAGACACAGCACAGAGAAAACAAAGGCUAAACUAAGCGAUUUUGUUUGAACAAAACAGAUUCUUGUUUCACCGAGGAAAAGAGAUAAGUUCUGGAUGAAUUGACAAUGCAUAAUUGAAUUGAUUAAUUUAAGUCUCGUCUAUUCUACAUUAAUGGGAGUACAUUAUGUUUCUGCUUCACGAAUAUGAUAUUUUUUGGACAUUUCUAAUAAUAGCAAGCCUUAUUCCGAUUUUGGCAUUUUGGAUUUCAGGGCUUUUAGCCCCGAUUAGUGAAGGACCCGAAAAGCUUUCUAGUUAUGAAUCGGGUAUAGAACCCAUGGGAGGGGCUUGGCUACAAUUCCGAAUACGCUAUUACAUGUUUGCGCUAGUUUUUGUUAUUUUUGAUGUGGAAACCGUCUUUCUCUACCCUUGGGCAAUGAGUUUCGACGUAUUGGGUGUAUCCGUUUUUAUCGAAGCUUUCAUUUUCGUGCUUAUCCUAGUUGUUGGUUUAGUUUAUGCAUGGCGAAAAGGAGCCUUGGAAUGGUCUUAACUGAAUAUUUAGAAGAAAAAAAAGAAGAAAAAGAUUCCAUUGAGACAGUUAUGAGUUUGAUUGAGUUUCCUUUACUUGACCAAACAAGUUCCAAUUCUGUUAUUUCAACUACACCAAACGAUCUUUCAAAUUGGUCAAGACUCUCCAGUUUAUGGCCCCUUCUAUACGGUAGCAGUUGUUGUUUCAUUGAAUUUGCUUCAUUAAUAGGCUCGCGAUUCGACUUUGAUCGUUAUGGAUUGGUACCAAGAUCAAGUCCUAGGCAAGCGGACCUAAUUUUAACAGCUGGUACAGUAACAAUGAAAAUGGCUCCUUCUUUAGUGAGGUUAUACGAGCAAAUGCCUGAACCAAAAUAUGUCAUUGCUAUGGGAGCUUGUACUAUUACAGGGGGAAUGUUCAGUACGGAUUCCUAUAGUACUGUUCGAGGAGUUGAUAAGUUAAUUCCUGUGGAUGUCUACUUGCCGGGUUGCCCACCUAAAUCGGAGGCGGUUAUAGAUGCCCUAACAAAACUUCGUAAGAAGAUAUCGCGAGAAAUAGUUGAGGAUCGAAUUCGAUCUCAAAAUAAAAACCGAUGUUUUACUACCAGUCACAAGCUUUAUGUUCGGCGCAGUACUCAUACUGGAACUUACGAGCAAGAAUUGCUCUAUCAAUCACCAUCUACUUUAGAUAUAUCUUCUGAAAAUUUUUACAAAUCCAAAAGUAUAGUACCUUCCUACAAAUUAGUGAAUUAGGAGGGGGGUUCUUUUGUCUAGAAAAAUAAAAAGCAAGGCAAUCUUUGAAACUUGCAUCCGAAAUGUGAAAUAUUUAUACAAAACAAAGAGGGAGAGAUCAAGACAAUGCAGCAGGGUUGGUUAUCUAAUUGGCUAGUCAAACAUAAGGUGGUUCAUAGAUCUUUGGGCUUUGAUCACCGAGGAAUAGAGACUUUACAAAUAAAAGCGGGGGAUUGGGAUUCCAUUGCUGUCAUUUUAUACGUAUAUGGUUACAAUUAUUUACGCUCCCAAUGUGCUUAUGAUGUAGCACCCGGUGGAUCUUUAGCUAGCGUGUAUCAUCUUACGAGAAUACAGUAUGGCAUAGAUAACCCAGAAGAAGUAUGCAUAAAAGUCUUUGCCCAAAAGGAUAAUCCUAGAAUUCCGUCUGUCUUCCGGAUUUGGAGAAGUGCCGAUUUUCAAGAACGCGAAUCUUAUGAUAUGGUGGGAAUCUCUUAUUUCCACGGUUACGCACCUCCCCAACUCGGCUAGGGUUAGUAAACGACGUAGAACUAAGACCAUGGGCUUUGUUAUACUCACGGAGUGAAAUAUCCAGUUGUUGCCGAGUGUGAGCGACGUCAACAGCUUCCUUCAGCAGCUUUUGUCGCUCCAACUCCAACUCUGCCUGCAACUGGGUCGGGUUAGCGUUCGACGCCACCGGCGUAGUCAGCCGUUCGAUGGAGGCUUGGAGCUGGGUCAGCUUCGGCGGCAGGGCCGACGUGCCGGCUUGAGCGGUGAUGUUCUUCGGCUUCUCCAAGGGGAGUUUCCCCGUUCUGCCGGAUUUGGUUGGGGCCGUGCCACUUCCUGCAGCGUCCCUUCCAGAAUUAGCACCAUGAGUCGUCACCAUGACCUCCACACGGUCAGCGGGACAGUUGACAUGCCGGCCGCGAACCGUGCGGACGGCGGGGGGGUCUUCGAUGACCAACCCCCUGCUCUGGGUACUUGCAAGGGCUUUUAGUAUCAACAUAAACCUCGUGCAUGCCGAAGUUGAUGAAGCGGCCCACGCAGGGAAGCGGUGUGUCGUUGAAGCAGCCCGCGUUGUUCUCGAUGAAGCCCAGAGAGCCGAAUCUCUGGACCAAACCGGAGACCACGCGCUCUCCGGUGACGAGGAAGCUUCCCGUCCGGAGGAAGACUCCAGCCAGCGCCGCUACAGGCCCCACGGUGGGCGCCAACUAUCGUGGUGGUGACACGGCAGAUGCCAUAGGAUGGGUUAACUUGGGGCCGAUGGACGAUGGAGGAUCCGGAGGAGGGAGAAUGUGAAGGGAAACACGCACAAAUCACACAAGCACACACAGAUCUACCCAGGUUCGGAGCCCUCUUGCCGAGGUAAGACUCUUACUCCUGCUUUCUUGUAUUAGCCGGGGUAGACAAGCUAUACAAUGGCACUCCUUGAGCUGUAUUCUUGAGGAAGAAGAAGAAGGGGAAAAAUCCUAGAUGUCUAAGUGCUCCGUCCCUCUCUACAGAGGGGUAACGUUCUAUUUAUAGGCCGCCCAUGUGGUUCCUGUGACGGUGUGUCAUUUGCUUUUGGGACGUCCGUGGCAAUCAGAUCGAGAUGUUCGUCAUCAUGGGCGAGCUAAUACUUAUAGUCUCCAUUGGCAUGGCAAGGAGGUGAUCUUAUGUCCUAUGACACCACAACAGAUUGUUAAUGAAUCUCAUCAAAAAGUUGAAGUAAAUCGUGAGAAUGAGCGUGAGAGAUUAGAUAGGCGAGGGACUCCACAUUCGGUGAGUGAGUACCAAAAGCCAAAUUUGAGUGGUAAACAGAACAGUGAGGGAGAGAAUUCCUUAGUAAUGCUAGCCACCAAAUCAGAUUUGAGAGAGUUCCGCGAGGAUCCUACCCAGGUUCGGAGCCCUCUUGCCGAGGUAAGACUCCUACUCCUGCUUUCUUGUAUUAGCCAGGAUAGACAAGCUAUACAAUGGCGCUCCUUGAGCUGUAAGAAAAAGAAGAAGGGGAAAAAUCCUAGAUGUCUAAGUGCUCCGUUGUAAGACCCCGGGACCAGAAUUAUAAAAUUUAGCCCAACAUUACUAACCUUUGCAUAAUUCAAGAGUCAGGUUCUUAACCUACGAUAAACACUUCAAUACAUACACGCAUUAAUGUGCUCAUCGCAGGAUUUUGCAACAUGAAUAUCAUGACCAAAACUCUACAGAAGAGAGUAAUUACAAAGCUCAUACAAGGAGCAGAAUAACAAAUAUUAUAAAGAGAGGACACAUGUCCCAACAUUACAUCAUUACAUCAGCGGAAGUCGAAUUAUGCCCGAGUACGGACAAGAAUACAACAUGACCUGAAGAGGCUGGAAGCUGGAAGGAAACCCGCCACGAGUCUCAGAACCCUGAUCUGGAUCUCCUGGCUAAACAUCGAAUCCAACGUCGUGCUCCACGAAGAAGCUAGCGGCUCACCUGCUCUACUGAAACCUGUGAAGAAAACAAUGUUGCAAAGCAACUGAGUACAAAGUAUUCGCAAGACUUACGGGGAGAUCUAUGCUAGUAUGCAACAUGUCUCAAAGGAGGGUAAAGUGGGGUUAUGCAGCAGCAACAAUAUCUAGAGAGACACUCUAUUAACAACGUCUAAGUAGAGGAUGAGAAGCGUCUACUAAGUGAGGUGAUUGACCUGUUUACUAAACACCAAACCACACAAUCCUUAUAUCACCCCCUCAACAUUAAUUGUUUUGGACCUUUCUUUGAUGGAAAUAAUGAUGCUGAAGCUUAUAUUGAUUGGGAAAUAGCUCUAAUUGAGCAAUUCACAUGCUUCCAUGUACUAGAUAGUCGUAAGGUCCAAAUUGCUAGUAGUAGAUUUCGUUUUGAUGCAUUAUCAUGGUGGAGUGAGAUAGUUAGAGAAAACAAAAUACCUCACACUUGGAUUGAUACGAAGAAAAUCAUGAGAGAAAAAUAUGUUCCUCCAAGUUAUGCUUAUGAGUUGCGUUCCAAAUUACGACGUUUGACACAAGAUGAUAAAACUGUUGAUGAUUACUACCAUGAGUUCCAAAUUUUAACCUUGCGAUCUGGUUUAGAUGAAACCGAACAAAGAAAAAUGGAUAGGUUUUAUUCUGGGCUUAAUUUUGAAAUUUCUUACGUGAUUGAAUAUGGGGAUUACGACUCUCUAUUGUGUUUGCUUAAUCUUGCUCGUGAAGCUGAGAGAAAGUUAGAAAGAAGGUAUAAUACAAAUGAGGCGAGCCCACAAGGUAAUGUUACAGAGGUUUGUGUUGCUGAACUAAAUAUGACGUGUAUUGAAAUAAAUGAGAUAUUUGAUGAACAUGCUGCCCCUUGUAAAAUUGUUGAUUUACUUGCCGAUUUGAGCGCACCCAUUGAUUCAAUUGAUAAUGAUUUAUGUGAUGAGUUAUCUGCUGUUUUGGAACAGACUUGUGACGGGAUGAUUAAAUUUGAUUUAUGUUGCAUUGAAUUAAUUAAACAUGAAGAAGUGUUUCUUAUGGUUCCGCCUAAUAAUUCUCUGUGUUCUAUUAAACUUGAUGCACCUAUAUAUUUGUCACAUGCAAUGGAUAAAGGUUCCGAGUUAACAAUUUCAAAAUCUUUUGCUAAUGCCCAUGGAUACACUAUUCAAUUAAUUGGAGAACAUGACGUGAACAAUAAAUUUUGGGUGCAUCAGAUUUGCAUUGCUUGUGAUAACUUUCUUGAUUUGAGAGAAAAUAAUAUGUUGCAUAUGCUUAACCAUUUUGAUAUGACCUCCAAUAUUGGUGUUGAUUAUUUGCCAAUUAGUUCUUUACACGAUUGUUCGAAUAUUAGUGCUUUGACAUGCUCUAAAUUUCAGCAUCUUGUAGUAACUAAUUUGGGUAACAUUAUUAAUUAUUAUUCUCCAGUGUUGGGAUGGUAUAAUGGUGAGCGGUGCAAACCAAAUACAAGAUGUUGUUUCACUUAUAUAUGCAAAACAUAUUGUCAAUCUUCUUGCUGGAAUGAUAUUCAUGAUGAUUGUGUGACUAAUUAUCUCAUGAGAUUGUGUUAUAAAACAUUAAUUGUGCAACAUGGGAGUGGAGUUAAAAAUAACGAUAUAUACAUAUACCAUGCGCAUACCUUGUCCCUUUUGUUUGCAUAUUUUCAGCAUAAACGACGCCGAGGACGGCUUUCCUUUCAAGAAAGGGAGGAUGAUAUGGACAUGCUAACCAUGGAUACGACCAUUAGAACCCUAAUUGUUGGUGUCUCUAAUAAUUAUAAUCAGGUGAAUUCAAUUACAAAAUGUUUUCAAUAUGUUACUUGCAAAGAGGCGGAGCUACUAUCUUGUGUAAUCUUAUUAUGUAGGCAUCUUAUUGAACUUUACAAGUCCAAAGUGAAGAUGAAGUGUUAUAGCCUGCAAAGGGAGAUUCAAAGUGAAGCCUAUCAAGUCUACUUUCCAACAAAUCAAACGGCACAUGAUUCGGAGCUUGCUAGAGAAAGAUAUCACGAAUUAAAGUUGAAUCCGAUUCGGGUCCGAGCUGUCAGGAGACCCGAAUUUGUUUUAAUCACCCAGGCCGCAUCUGGAGUCCAAAUCAAGCAAAAAAGUACUUGUUGGAAAGUUAAUUACAAGACCUUUCCAACGGAUCUGGCCCCAUCAAGAGAUUCGACUCGUGCUGACCGUGGCGGACAAAACAAGCUGACGGAUCUGUUUUUCUGUUUCCUAAAGAGUUGUAGUUUGUUAGGAAAGUUAGAGAUAGAGUUGGAUUUCGGACUCCUUAAUCAAGGUGGACGAAAAUAUCUCUCCCUCCUCCUUUAUAUACCCCAUGAACCCCCUAAGGAGCUUUGGGUUUUGAUUAGAUAAAGUUUAGCCAUCUUUGCUACUUUCGUGUAAUCGCGUGUGUCGGUUAGACCACCUGUUUUAUCGUCAAGACUCCAACUUAUCGUCUCAUUGAGACAUUGGUUUGAUAUAGUAUAUUCGCAAUUUUAGAUUGCAUCUGCUAUUUAUCUUGUUCUUGCUUGUUCUUUGAUUGCUUGCAGGAACAAAGACCUUCGUGGUCAGGUUGAUCGUGCCCCCGCGUGAUCAAUAACCCUCUGGAGUUGGUGUAUCGAUUGCUAAGGCGCUGCCUCCUAGGCCGUAGUCGGAUCGUCAACGUCACCUUCUACCCAAAUCGAGAGUUACCAAUCUCAUCGAAAGAUCGGGCCACCCGCACCCGUAUCAUUUAUAUAAGUUCAAAGUAUUUUAUUUGGAACCAUUUGCAUAUUAUGAUUUUAUCGGACUAUUAUUCGCAUCUUAAUAAAUCCUAUUUUCCUUUUUAAGGAUUUAUUAGCACACUAAGUUUCCAAUUUGGAUGCCAUGACCAUUUGAGAGCAUCGUUGGAAUAUUUAAAUUGAUUAGAAAUGUUCUCCAACUUUUAUCUAAAUAAUAAAGAGAGGGAAUAAUAUGACUUUCCUAGUUAUAAGGUUGGAAACAUAUUUAAUGAUGCACCUAUGUUUUCUCAAUUUUUAUUUUGACAUGUUAAUAUUGUUUUUGAUAAGAAGUUAUCAAAUAUUCGAGAAGAGGAUAACGUGACAUCCUCAUGUGCAAAUGUUAUUCGAACAUUUAUUCCGUCGUUGAGAGUGGGAUAACGUGACUUCCCAAAUAUAUAUAUGGUUGAAAACAUCUGCGAUGGUUUAGAUGAUUUGUGAUUUGGUGUUAUAAAGCUAUUUGGGAAUUUAGUGAACCAUAUAAAUAUUAUAGGAUUUUAUUUGAUGUUCAACCCAAUGAGGUACUUAGCUAAGGAAGGGUUUUACUGCAAAGUAUGCCACUCCAAUAUUUUAUUGGAGUUUAAACUAAUUUAUGAAACAAAGAUUUCAUAAUAGAUUUCAAAACCUAUUUUAUUUAUUACUUAUAAAGCCCUAAUGACAUUUAUAUAAGAAAAAAUAUUUUCACUUAUUUUAUUUUGAAAGGAUUCAAGUCCCAAAAGUUCACAGUUUGGAGGAUUUGAAUUUACAAAUUUACUGGAGUUUAUUUGGACUUAUUUGGAGUUAGGAAUCAAAAGUUAUUAAUAAAAACAGAAAUGGAAAAAAAAAGGAAAACAAAAAAAGAAAGAAUGGACCGACCCAACUAGGCUGGCCCAUCGUGUUCUUCCUCCUCUCCACAAGAAGGAAACCCCUCCUUCUAUAUUUUCUUCCUUUGAUUUUUUUCCUUCCCGUGCGUCUCUCUUUGAAAGGAAACCACCCCAUCAAUUCUCACCAUCCCAGGAACCGAUUCAGGCAAUCAAUUUGAAGUUUCCUCUCAUAAUCGCAGUUUCCAAAAGAGGCGCUCCGAAUGCCGCCCGUCGACAUCCACGCCCGAUCUCCCUCCUCGACCAAUAUAAAAGGAUUCCACGCGCAUCACUUUGAGCCUUUGCCUCUCCUCUCCCAUUCCCAUGUGGAAAGCUUCGCCUCUAAACCUCUGUACAGCCGGCUACGUCGACGUCUUCCUCCACCGGUCACCGGUAAGGUUGCUGCGAUCAAUGAUCAAGAAGAACCUGCGUGCAUGGGAGGAGUGUUUGCCGCAUGUGGAAUUUGAAUAUAACAGGGCAGUACAUUCAUCAACGCAGCUUUGUCCGUUUGAGGUGGUAUAUAGUUUCAAACCCAUUACGCCAGUUGAUUUGCUGCCACUUCCAAGUCAAGAGCGUGUGAAUAUGGAGGCGUGCAAGCAUGCUGAUUUUGAUCGGAAGAGACAUGUAACAUCCCAAAAAUUUCAAACUUUUACAUGUGCAUUGCAUCCAUAAGCAUCAUGCCACAAUUGCAUAUUUGAAUUCAAAUUUGAAUCUCAAAAGGCUUCGGAAAGAUUUUAUUUCAAUUUAAACCCUAGGGUUUACACCCAUUUGAGCUUUGGAUCUUCAAACCAAUAGGGUUUAUUUAUAAAAGGGGUUUAUUGCAUAAAUAAGCCAUCCCAUAAUUAUUUGGAGUUGAAAAACUAUUUUAUUUAAAUAGUUAUAUAGCCGUAAAGGCAUUUAUAGGGAAAAUGUAUUUUUAGAUAUUUUAUUUUGAGGGGAAAUUACUCCCAAAAGUUGUAUCAUGAUAAAACAUGAUUUUACAAAUUUUCUGGAAUUUAUUUGGACCAAUUUGGGGCUCAAAAUCAAAAGAUAUCAAAGAAAUAAGAAAAAGAGAAAAAGAAAAGGCUACAAGAAAAAAAAAGGGGAAAACCGGACCGGCCCCGCCGUUUUGGGCCGAACCGGCCCCGCUUCGGCCAAGCCCGCCCGAACCGGACCCGCCCAGCGCCGCGCGCGCGCGCUUGAGCCACCGACAGGUGGGGCCCACCUGUCGGGGUCGUCUUCUCCGCGGCGAAAGCCCCGGAUUUCCGCCGCCCGCGCCGCCGCCUGCCGUUUUCGCCGCCGCGUGCCGUCUCCGCCGCAAUCUCCUCCCCCCCCUUCCUGAUUUCGCAGCCCCGACCGCGUCCAUAUAAAGGCCACCGCCUCCUCUCUCUUCCCCUAAACCCCCUCGCCACCACGCCGCCAGGCCGCCGGAAUACCUUGCCGGGGCAAGGAGUCCCCCCCGCCGCCGUUUUUGCUUCGGGUCGACACCACCGGUGAGCCUCUUCGCCCGAACCUUGCAAUUUCUGGACUGCAUCGUCCUCGCGCCUAUUUUGACACGCGCGGAUUUGUCCUAGGUGCGCCCUAGCAGCCGGAGCAGUGCCGACGUCCUCGCCGGAGCCCGCGCCCUCGCCGUCGAGAGUCCCCGUAGUCCUAGACGUCGCCCUCGACCUCGUUUCGUCGUGCGGACCGCGUCACGGUCUUCGCCUCAUCGCGCCGUGCGCACCCAUGUCUUCCCUGAGCCGCCCGCGUCGCCGGAACCGCCCGUGCCGCUGCCGCCCGUGCCUGCGCCGCGGUCCCCCCCGUCUCCGGUGACCGCCGCCACCGCCAGGUAAACCCUGGCGCAUCUCGGCCGUCCAUUUCAUCCCAACGGCUAAGAUUAGAAGCCCUCGCGCCCUUUAAAACGAACCGCUAUCGUCCAAUGAGAUUGUGACACGUGGCACCUAUUUUAUAAAACAAAAAAUGUAAUUUAAUUCCCAGAAUAAUUAGAAAUGGCACUUUUGCAGAAAAGCCCUCGAAACUUCAAAUGAUCAUAUUUUUUAAUCUGUUUGGCCAAAUUUGACGAUCCACACCUUUCUGGAAUCAUUAAGAAAUGUAUAAUUUUUUGGCACUGUGCAAUUUCAAAUUUGAGUUUUUGAAUCACAGUCAAUUUACAGAAUAGGGUUUAGUGCCAUUUAAAUCAUAACUAAUUAUUUAGAAGUCCUUUUUAAAUGAAACCAGUGCCCAAAAACUUGUUUUUUUAUCCUCUGUCCAUUGGGACAGAGCACCAAAUGUUUUGAACUAAAUUAUUUGGCUGAUGCCAAUAAAACUAAAAUUUAGGGUUUUGGUAAAUUGUUUUUGCCUUUUGUUUAAAACCCUAAUGCAUUAAUGUUUAAUUACCAAUGCUUGGGAUCAGUUGAUCAUCCAAAUAAAAUAAACCCAAUCAUGUCACAUGCUUGCAUCACAUCAUAGGAUAUUUUCUUUUGCCAUGAUGUGAAUUUUGUGUUUAUGUAUCCAUUGUUUGUAUUUGAAUAGUUUUCUCGGAUAGCGAACCUUGUGAUUGUGACGAGUGUUUGAACUCCAACCGCUACCAAGGCAAGUUCACUUUGACCAUCAUCCCAUUAUUUUAUUAUGCACUAGAUUUUAUUAGUUGCAUUGUUCGGAAUAUUAUGGUAUCUAUGCUAGCUAUGAUCUCUCUUAGUAGUAUCGGAUACCUUUGCCAUGUUCUUACCACCAAUUGCCAUCGUCGUAGUAAAAUGCCAUGCUAUGAUAAUAUACAAGGGUGGUAUUAUUACAAUGUGAUACUAUUGAAUUCCAAUAUGAUUUUCCUAGUGUAUGGCAAAACAAGUAAUUCAAUGAAUCGUUCUGGGUGGGCGGCUUUGAGUUUUCGGAUGUCGUGACGUUAGGUCCAUUUCUAUGGGGCCCACUGAGUCGUCUCCCCGUGAGAUUCGGGGAGCGUCCAUGGUCGUCUCCCCGUGAGAUUCGGGGAGCGCUUGCGUCACAAUGUGGAAUGCCACCCGGGGUAACCAGAGACUGGACUAGUUUCCUGUUUAGUAGCUUCCAGUACAACCACAUGGUAUUAUGGGCUCUGCCAGGAUGGACGUAAGAAAUAUGAACCUGGAUCCGAGGUGACAUCGGUAUGUAGCAGUGUAGGUCGGAACGCGUCCCUCAGGUGGUUUGGGGGAAUAUGUUCUGAAAAUUCCUGUAAUCGAUGCCGUUGCUACUCUACCCUUAGGACAGCAAGGGAUUAACACGUCGAUUUCUUGUGGGUAAAGUGUACCACCUCUCGAGAGUGUCAAACUAAGUACUUAGCCUUGUCCCCGGUUACGGACAAUUAUGAGCAACUAGAUAUUGGGCUGUAAGGAAGGUCUCACUCAUUCCAAUUUCCUAAUAAAAUGAAUGGAUUGAACUGGGAAGGAGCAUUGAUGUAUCUACUCAAUGUGCCUAGGUUAAGAGGAGCAUUGAUGUAUGUACUCAAUGUGCCUAGGUUAAUAGGAGCAUGGGUGUUUCUACCCCGUGUCCAAUAGAAUUCAAAACUAUUUGUUUAAAAAUGAUAGGAUUGAAUAAUGAUGCUUUUAUGCAACUAGCCAAACCCUCCUAGCCAAAUUAUGCAUGUACUUGGUAGGUCCUUUAUAACUCUGGUGAACUUGCCAAUAAAUUCAAAUGUAUCGACCACGUAGGGGCUGCAAUUAACAAUGCAGGUGGAUCCGACGAUGAGUGAGGUUCGUCGUUAUGUUGUGGGUCAUGUGCUUACAUUCCAACAUGCUCUCACCUUGGAGUACUUGUGGCCCUUAUGUUCUACCCUUUUCCGCUGCAGUAUUUUGAAACAUUGUUUUAUGAUGUUCAAACAGUAUUUGCUUUAUGCUGACCCAAGAGGUCAUGCGAGGUUGUAAGUACUAUUUAAAUCCUAGAUGAUGCGAUGUAAUAAUGUACUUUUCACCUUUGCUUAUGUAUAUUUCAUCAUGAAACUGUGUGUGCUAGUGAGUCGAUCCAGGGACUAGCACAGUAAGCACAGAGAUCGAACCCUGUAAGGGGGAGGAUCGCUUCAGAUGGUAUCAGAGCAAUGUGUUGCCUGUAGGAACGUGACCCUAGUUUGGAUUAGGAUGAGACAAAACCAAGGACCAAACCUUAGGAUUAUUUCUUAUUCAUAUCUGAUCUAUAUAUAUACACAUAUAAUUUACUCCUUAUCCCUAUUCAUCGAACACAUUGCAUUUAUAUCUUACAUAUGCAUGACAUGUUUAUUGCUUUUAUUCCUACAUAUACACCAAAUACUAUGCCUUAUACCACAGAUGCAUGUUUAUUUUAUUAUACCACAGAUACAUAUUUAUUUUGCUAUACCAUCCACCACUAUAAUCAUGUUGCUAUGUUAUUAACAUAUUAUUAUGCAUCCAAUUUUAUUCCACCAUAUAUAUAUUAAAUUUUAUCGCUUUACUCCCACUCUACUACCUUUAAACUAUUUUUUUUACAUACAUUCGACCAUUUUGAUCAUGUCACUGAUACUCCCUUACCUUCCUUCUUGUUUUGUAUAGAUGGGAAGCCCAACACCUUUCGGCAACGUACCGCCGUUUACCCGAGUCUACUACCCCUCCACAGACGACGACCAGUUGUUCAGUGCCUCUUUGGCAGCACUGUGUGCGUCUCUUGACCUGCCACCACCCAGGUUCAGAGGCCGAGUCGAGCCCGCCGUGCCAGAAGGAUGGCAGCCACGGUGGGAGAUUGAGGCGAAGAUCCGCGGGCAUGAGAUCGCGCCUGCUACACAGGAUAUCACCUUCAUCGCCCGCUACCCCACCUUCGAGCAAGGCCUUCAGUUCGCCAUGCAGUGCGCCUUCGCGCAGGUGUGCCGGGACUAUCAGCACAAGUUUACCGAGACCUCUCCUUUCCGUCUCUUUGGAAGGCGGAACCACACGUGCCAGGCCAUGCCAGCAGCCGACGACCAGGAGGUGUCCGAGGUGGCUGCCUAGUUCUAGAGCAUGGAGAAGAACACCGAGGAUCAAGAGACCUGCCUUGGUGAGGAGAUGACCAGGACCGACGAUGCUGAGAAGCUAGUCGGUCAUCUACUGGAAGAGAAGACCCAAUGGCAGGAAGAUAAGGCAUUGCUACAGAACACCGUCCUCAACAUGGGAGAUGCCAUUGACCAGUUGAAGUACGAGAGAGACCUGGCUCGCUACUACUGCGAGCAGUUCAAGGCCUUCAUCGAGGCAGCAGCCGUAGCCGCCGCCGAGCCAGCACCAACUGCCGCACCGGCACCAGACCAGGCCCCACCUCCACCACAGGAUCAGGAGGUGGUACCUCAGGAGGUAGCGCCGACUGAGCAGGAGGAGCCCCAGGAGGUCCACGAGAUGGACACCCCUGCCACCAACACCCGCUCCAAGAGGAAGAGGGUGAAUGGAGCCACGACGACAGCCACACCUCCCUAGUCUCGUAGCCUGCCAGUCUUGUAUCAGUUAACUAUCGUUAUCAGUUUUGCGAGUUAGUCAUUGACCAAUGUAGAUCGAUUGCAUUUUCCUGUACUCUUUUCUUAUGGGCAGUACCCCAUCAUGAACAAGUGUGUUUUGCUAUAUUUUCCAAAAUCUUUUUAUGAUUGAUUGAGUGUAUGAUUGAUAUAUGCUUGAGUCAAUAUCUUGUUUUGGGGGACUUAGACAUCCUUAGCUCUAUUCUAUCUUGAUACGGGUGCGGGUGGCCCGAUCUUUCGAUGAUAUUGAUAACUCUCGAUUUGGGUAGGAGGUGACGUUGACGAUCCGACUACGGCCUAGGAGAGCGCCUUAGCAAUCGAUACACCAACUCCAGAGGGUUAUUGAUCACGCGGGGGCACGAUCAACCUGACCACGAAGGUGUUGUUCCUGCAAGCAAUCGAAGAACAAGCAAGAACAAGAUAAAUACCAGAUGCAAUCUAAAAUUGCGAAUAUACUAUAUCAAACCAAUGUCUCAACGAGACGAUAAGUUGGGGUUCCGAAAGCGGUAAAACAGGUGGUCUAAACGACACACGCGAUUACACGAAGUAGUAGCGAUGGCUAACUUUUAGCUAAACAAAACCCAAGGCUCCUUAGGGGGCUCAUGGGUUAUAUAAAGGAGGAGGGAGAGAUAUUUUCGUCCACCUUGAGUAUUGAGUCCGAAAUCCAACUCUAUCUCUAACUUUCCUAACAAACUACAACUCUUUAGAAAACAGAAAAACAGAUCCGUCAGCUUGUUUUGUCCGCCACGGUCAGCACGAGUCGGAUCUCUUGAUGGGGCCAGAUCCGUUGGAAAGGUCUUGUAAUUACCUUUCCAACAAGUACUUGUUUGCUUGAUUUGGACUCCGGAUGCGGCCUGGGUGAUUAAAACAAAUUUGGGUCUCCUGACAGCUCGGACCCGAAUCGGAUUCAACUUUAAUUCGUGAUAUCUUUCUCUAGCAAGCUCCGAAUCAUGUGCCGUUUGAUUUGUUGGAAAGUAGACUUGAUAGGCUUCACUUUGAAUCUCCCUUUGCAGGCUAUAACACUUCAUCUUCACUUUGGACUUGUAAAGUUCAAUAAGAUGCCUACAUAAUAAGAUUACACAAGAUAGUAGCUCCGCCUCUUUGCAAGUAACAUAUUGAAAACAUUUUGUAAUUGAAUUCAUCUGAUUAUAAUUAUUAGAGACACCAACAAUUAGGGUUCUAAUGGUUGUAUCCAUGGUUAGCAUGUCCAUAUCAUCCUCCCUUUCUUGAAAGGAAAGCCGUCCUCAGCGUCGUUUAUGCUGAAAAUAUGCAAACAAAAGGGACAAGGUAUGCGCAUGGUAUAUGUAUAUAUCGUUAUUUUUAACUCCACUCCCAUGUUGCACAAUUAAUGUUUUAUAACACAAUCUCAUGAGAUAAUUAGUCACACAAUCAUCAUGAAUAUCAUUCCAGCAAGAAGAUUGACAAUAUGUUUUGCAUAUAUAAGUGAAACAACAUCUUGUAUUUGGUUUGCACCGCUCACCAUUAUACCAUCCCAACACUGGAGAAUAAUAAUUAAUAAUGUUACCCAAAUUAGUUACUACAAGAUGCUGAAAUUUAGAGCAUGUCAAAGCACUAAUAUUCGAAUAAUCGUGUAAAGAACUAAUUGGCAAAUAAUCAACACCACUAUUGGAGGUCAUAUCAAAAUGGUUAAGCAUAUGCAACAUAUUAUUUUUCUCUCAAAUCAAGAAAGUUAUCACAAGCAAUGCAAAUCUGAUGCACCCAAAAUUUAUUGUUCACGUCAUGUUCUCCAAUUAAUUGAAUAGUGUAUCCAUGGGCAUUAGCAAAAGAUUUUGAAAUUGUUAACUCGGAACCUUUAUCCAUUGCAUGUGACAAAUAUAUAGGUGCAUCAAGUUUAAUAGAACACAGAGAAUUAUUAGGCGGAACCAUAAGAAACACUUCUUCAUGUUUAAUUAAUUCAAUGCAACAUAAAUCAAAUUUAAUCAUCGCGUCACAAGUCUGUUCCAAAACAGCAGAUAACUCAUCACAUAAAUCAUUAUCAUUUGAAUCAAUGGGUGCGCUCAAAUCGGCAAGUAAAUCAACAAUUUUACAAGGGGCAGCAUGUUCAUCAAAUAUCUCAUUUAUUUCAAUACACGUCAUAUUUAGUUCAGCAACACAAACCUCUGUAACAUUACCUUGUGGGCUCGCCUCAUUUGUAUUAUACCUUCUUUCUAACUUUCUCUCAGCUUCACGAGCAAGAUUAAGCAAACACAAUAGAGAGUCGUAAUCCCCAUAUUCAAUCACGUAAGAAAUUUCAAAAUUAAGCCCAUAAUAAAACCUAUCCAUUUUUCUUUGUUCGGUUUCAUCUAAACCAGAUCGCAAGGUUAAAAUUUGGAACUCAUGGUAGUAAUCAUCAACAGUUUUAUCAUCUUGUGUCAAACGUCGUAAUUUGGAACGCAACUCAUAAGCAUAACUUGGAGAAACAUAUUUUUCUCUCAUGAUUUUCUUCGUAUCAAUCCAAGUGUGAGGUAUUUUGUUUUCUCUAACUAUCUCACUCCACCAUGAUAAUGCAUCAAAACGAAAUCUACUACUAGCAAUUUGGACCUUACGACUAUCUAGUACAUGGAAGCAUGUGAAUUGCUCAAUUAGAGCUAUUUCCCAAUCAAUAUAAGCUUCAGCAUCAUUAUUUCCAUCAAAGAAAGGUCCAAAACAAUUAAUGACAUUACAAGGAUUGCGAUAUACCUUUUCCUUGCCAAUGUCAACAACAGACGAGGAGGAUGGAUGUGGUGAAAAACGCUCAUGUCGGUCACUUGAUAGCAUAGGCCUAUUUUCCAUCCUUUGUGUAAGUCCUGUCAUGGUUAGUAUAAGACAAGAAACAAAACACAGGAAUAUGUUCCUAUCAACUAAUAGGAUGUGGCUACAAGUCGCUCAACUAUCAAGCUAAAAAUCAAGUUCUUACAAGUUCUUACCAUGCAAAAUAGGAAGGUGAUGGCCAGCGGCGUGACCAAGCCCUCCGAAGAUUAAAUGUAUCGAUGCCUCGGUAACAAAGCAACCUAGGUGUAGAAUCUGUGGAGCUUGGAGGCUUUUGUGAGUAGCAAAGAAUAGCAAAUAAUCAAAUCAGCAAUGCAAAGUUGAAAAUAUGCUCAAUAAUGCUAGUCCUAGCUGCUGGAGUCGAUAAGAACGAAUUACAGAAAUAAUCUAAGCCUAGAUACUGAAGAAGAUAGGAUAGAAAGAUCAAACGAUGGCACAACAAGUAAAUCCCUGAGAUUUUUUUCUUCUUUUUUCUUUUUGUGGCCUUCGGUUUGGCUUCUUAUUCUUUUCUUCUUUUUUUUUCUUUUUUUUUUAACCCCAGAAACUCACGCAAAAGAAGGACCGGAAAACUGUACGUCGGUCUAUCGAAGAACAGCAAAGGCUGCAGUAACAAAAAUUCAGAAAAAUAUGAAAAAAUAUGGGUUAGAAGCGUAUCGACACAAGCUUUCUAGCAAGGGCAAGAUCACUCAAAACGGAUGUCGGACGGUGGAGAAAACUGAGAAACACCGGGCUGCAGCGACGCCGGAAAACGGAUGCAGAAACUUGGAAGCUCCGAAAGUCCACCUUACAAACUGAAUUUGAGGGUCAAAGUGUAGGGCUAUGCCCUGGAUAUUUCCUGAUGCGCCUCGUCGUGAGCUUUCCAAAAAGUCCAAGAACGUCCAAAUCCGAGUUAGUACGCAAAAGAUACGCCCGUUUUACUGAACACGGGUCAAACCCACCCGAAACUAAAAUUCUACUCGGACUCGGGUCCGAAACUGACUCGAACUCUUUCUCUUUUUUUUUUGUUUUUUUUUUCUCUCUUUCCUUUUUUUUUCUUUCCUUUCUUUUUUUUUCAACUUUCCAAACAACUUGAUCUCUAAACCAAAUUCGAUCGAUGAUGAAACACUUUUCAAAAGCACUCCUUAUUGGACUCGGACUCGAACUCACGGCUGAAAACUAUUACUUGCCGACUCGAUGUAGAACUCGAAGAGAGACACAAUGUAGGACUUGACGAGGGACUCGGUGUAGGACUCGAAGAGAGACUUGGUGUAGGACUCGAUGAGGGACUCGGUGUAGGACUCAAAGAGGGACUCGGUGGAAGAUAUGGUGGCGGCGGGAGAUUAUGGCAAUCGAUACACCAACUCCAGAGGGUUAUUGAUCACGCGGGGGCACGAUCAACCUGACCACGAAGGUCUUUGUUCCUGCAAGCAAUCGAAGAACAAGCAAGAACAAGAUAAAUACCAGAUGCAAUCUAAAAUUGCGAAUAUACUAUAUCAAACCAAUGUCUCAACGAGACGAUAAGUUGGGGUUCCGAAAGCGGUAAAACAGGUGGUCUAACCGACACACGCGAUUACACGAAGUAGUAGCGAUGGCUAACUUUUAACUAAACAAAACCCAAGGCUCCUUAGGGGGGCUCAUGGGGUAUAUAAAGGAGGAGGGAGAGAUAUUUUCGUCCACCUUGAGUAUGGAGUCCGAAAUCCAACUCUAUCUCUAACUUUCCUAACAAACUACAACUCUUUAGAAAACAGAAAAAUAGAUCCGUCAGCUUGUUUUGUCCGCCACGGUUAGCACGAGUCGAAUCUCUUGAUGGGGCCAGAUCCGUUGGAAAGGUCUUGUAAUUACCUUUCCAACAAGUACUUGUUUGCCUUAUUUGGACUCCGGAUGCGUCCUGGGUGAUGUUUCCUCAUCUAUGCUACCCAAAAACAGAUGCCUCCGAGAUGCCAGAACCCCGCCAACAACGCCGAGGCUAACAACGCCGAAGCUAACGGGAAUGCUGCCACCAUGCAGCAACUAUUGGCCGCCCAGACCCAGUUCUUCUAGCUAAUUACUCACGAAAUGGCCAACAACAACAACAACAAUCAACAGAACAACAACAACCAGCAGCACCACCCACCUCAAGUGGAUAUGCUGACCAGAUUUCUGCGUUUGCGACAGCCCACUUUUUCAGCUCCACUGAGCCCAUUAUGGCUGAUGAUUGGCUUCGUUCAGUCAACAAGAAUUUGGUCACCAUCAACUGCACUGAGGAAGAGAAAGUGCGGUUUGCAGCUCAUUUGCUAGAAGGACCCGCAGCGUCAUGGUGGGAAAAUUUUCAGAUCACCACCCCCAUCGAAGAUGUCACCUGGGACAUGUUCCAGGAAGCUUUCCGCACCACCCACAUCUCUGCGGGAGUGCUUAGUCUGAAGAAGAAGGAAUUUCACAGGCUGCGUCUGGGAAGCCGCUCUGUGUCGGAAUAUAUAGAAGUAUUCAACCAGCUGUCCCGCUACGCGCCGGACGAUGUGAACACUGAUGCCAAGCGCAGAGAGAAGUUCUUGGACGGUUUGAACGACGAGCUGUCAGUUCAACUUGCUGUUGCUUACACCCCCACUAACCAGUCCUUGAUUGACAAGGCCAUCAUUUUGGAAAGUAAGCUCACUCAAAUGGAGAGCCGCAAGAAGAGACUUCACUAAGGAGGCCCUCACACCGGCCCGCACCAGAAGUAGCGCACCUCCUAUGAUAGAAGUGGCAGUUCCUCCUUGAGCAGGAACAGGAAUCAGAGCAGCCACCGCAGUGGAAGUAAUGGUCACAACCACCGCCAGGGAAACCAAGGACACCACCAUCAGGGUGGCAAUGGGAACCGGCACCAUCAGCAGCACCACCAGCAGCAUCAGUUCUCUCGCCCAAGGCCCACCAAUGGCAAUGGGAAUGGCAGGAAGAACGGCAAUGGUCAGAACCACAACGCCAACAAGGACCUGAGCAAGGUGAGUGUUACAAGUGUCACAAGAUGGGGCACUACGCCACCAACUGCCCGAACAACUAGGAUGGCACUGGGAACAAGCCCAAUCCGUUCCAGAAGGGCCACGCGAAUCACGUGGACGUGGAAGAGAUCACCGAGGAACCAGGUAUCAUACUUGGCAGCUUCCACAUUAAUUCUUUUGAAGUACUAGUUCUUUUCGACACUGGUGCAUCACAUGCAUUCAUUUCAAGAGUAUUGGUAGAAAGAGGAAAAUUACCCUCUGAGACCAUGGGUAGACCCAUGAAAGUGAAUUCACUGGGUGGAACAAUACUAGCAACCUGACACUGCCACCAGCUACCCCUAAGUAUUGGGAGACAUGUUUUUUCCCUUUGAUCUCAUAGUGAUAGAUUCCCGAGGACUGGACCUAAUCCUGAGAAUGGACUGGUUGACCUUGUAUGAAGGUUUAGUAGACUGUGCCCAGAGGACUGUCACACUCACAACCCCUGACAAAAGACGCAUCCGGUACAAGUCAACCCAUGAGCUUAAGAGACCCAAGAUUAAUACUCUUAAGGGGGUUAGCAUGGACGAAGUACCCAUGGUGAAGGAAUACCCGGACGUAUUCCCAGAGGAAUUACCAGGCAUGCCACCGGACCGUGAUGUUGAAUUCCUCAUUGAGUUAAUGCCAGGAAGUGGACCCAUAGCCAAGAGACCAUAUAAGAUGGCCAUGGAUGAAUUAAAGGGGUUAAAGAAGCAGCUAACUGAACAGUUAGCGAAAAGUUUCAUCCGCCCCAGUUCAUCACCAUGGGGAGCACCUGUCCUGUUUGUGGAAAAGAAGGACAAGACUCAACAGAUGUGCAUCAACUUUCGUUCACUAAAUGAGGCGACGAUAAAGAAUAGAUAUCCUUUGCCCAUAAUCAAUGAUCUUUUCGAUCAAUUGAAGUGAGCUCAAGUGUUCUCAAAGAUCGACCUGCGAUCAGGAUAUUUUCAGCUAAAGAUCCGAGAGAUGGAUAUACCCAAGACAACAUUCACCACUAGGUAUGGAUUGUAUGAGUAUACAGUGAUGCCAUUUAGUUUGACCAAUGCACCUGCAUACUUCAUGAACAUGAUGAAUAAGGUGUUCAUGGAUUUCUUGGACAAGUUUGUCAUACUAUUCAUCGAUGGCAUCUUGAUCUAUUCCAAGAGCAAGGAAGAGCAUGAGCAGCAUCUGCGCAUGAUUUUGGAGAAGUUGAGAGCGCACAAGUUGUACGCCAAAUUCAGCAAGUGGGAUUUUUGGUUGUCAGAAGUUAGUUUCCUUGGACACAUAGUGUCAGGAGCCGGAGUAGCUGUUGACCCAGCUAAGGUUGCAGCAGUUACAGAAUGGGAGGCACCGAAGAAUGUCGGAGAAGUCCGCAGCUUCCUUGGACUGGCUGGUUACUACCGGAGGUUCAUUGAGAAUUUCUCCAAAAUAGCAAAACCCAUGACUGAGCUCUUAAAGAAGGAGAAGAAGUUUGCCUGGCAUGAGAUAUGUGAAGAGAGCUUCCAGGAUUUGAAGAAAAGACUAGUGUCUGCGCCCAUCUUUGUUUUGCCUGACCUGCAACAGUAUUUUCAAGUAUACUGUGACGCCUCACGUCAAGGAUUGGGAAGAGUGUUGAUGCAAGGAGGUAGAGUCAUAGCGUACGCUUCGCGCAACUAAAGAGCCACGAAGGCAACUAUCCCACUCAUGACUUGGAAUUAGCUUCGGUAGUGCACGCCCUGAAGACUUGGAGACACUACCUGAUGGGGAAACACUGUGAGUUCUUUACUGAUCACAAGAGCCUGAACUACAUAUUCACUCAGAAGGAGUUGAAUCUGAGGCAGAGAAGAUGGUUAGAACUGAUAAAGGACUAUGACCUGAGUCUGCAAUACCAUCCAGGCAAGGCUAAUGUUGUAGCCGAUGCAUUGAGCCGCAAGGGCUAUAUAAAUGGACUAACAGCUGGAGAUUUAACGCCUGAAUUGUGCGAACAGUUCAAGGACCUCAGACUGAAAAUAGUACCGAAAGGUUAUUUAGCCACUUUGGAAGUACAGCCCACGUUGUUGGAUAAGAUUAGAGAAGCACAGAAGGGCGAUUUGGAAAUAAAGGAAGUAAAAGAGAAUAUGAAUAUCGGAAAGGCUAAAGAUUUCUGAGAGGACGACCAGGGUACCAUAUGGUUCGGAAAACGCAUUUGCGUACCACAGGAUCCGGAAAUCAGAAAGUUGAUACUGCAAGAAGCCCAUGAUUCACCGUACUCAAUCCACCUCGGGAACACUAAGAUGUAUAUGGACCUAAAGGAAACAUUUUGGUGGUCCGGAUUAAAGCGAGACAUCGCCGAGUUCAUUGCCUUGUGCAAUGUGUGCAGCAGAGUUAAGGCAGAGCAUCAGAAACCAGUAGGAUGGAAGUGGGAUAAAGUAGGCAUGGAUUUUAUCACCGGGUUACCAAGGACCAGAUCCGGAUAUGAUUUCAUUUGCGCAGUGGUUGACCGUUUGACCAAGGUUGCCCACUUUAUACCGGUAAAGACUACCUACACUAGUGCACAGUUAGCGAAGCGCUACAUGUCAAGGAUCGUGUGUUUACACGGAGUACCCAAGGAAAUAGUUUCAGACAGAGGUACCCAAUUUACCUCAAGAUUUUGGGGACAACUACAUGAGUCUCUAGGAACGAGACUAGAAUUCAGUACAGCAUUUCAUCCGCAGACGGAUGGACAGACCGAGAGAGUAAAUCAGAUCCUUGAAGAUAUGUUGAGAGCUUGCGCUCUAGAUUAUGGAUCCAGUUGGGAUGACAAUCUGCCGUAUGCAGAAUUCUCAUACAACAACAGCUUCCAACCCAGCAUAGGAAUGUCACCGUUUGAAGCUUUGUAUGGAAGGAGGUGCAGGACACCAUUGUUGUGGGAUGGUGUAGGAGACCGUAGCCUAUUCGGCCCAGAUUUGAUAAAGGAUGCCGAGGAAAAGGUUAGGCUCAUCCGAGAUAGACUAAAGGUAGCUCAAUCAAGGCAGAAGAGCUACGUGGAUUCCAAACGUAGGGAGGUUACCUACGAGAUUGAAGGUAGAGCAUAUCUCAGAGUGUCACCGAUACGCGGAGUUAAGAGAUUUGGAAUCAAGGGAAAGUUAGCACCCUGUUUCAUUGGACCUUUCAAGAUCUUGUCACGCCAAGGAGAAGUGGCUUACAAGUUGGAUUUACCAGAAGCACUGUCCAAUGUCCACAAUGUCUUCCAUGUAUCCCAACUAAAGAAGUGUCGUCCUGAGAUGGCCGACACACCAUUGAGGGAUACGAUACCUCUUGAGGAAGUCCAACUGCAGAGUGACCUCACCUAUGAGGAGAAACCGAUCGGAAUCUUGGAUACAGCUGAGAGACAAAACCGAUCAAAGACCAUCAAGUUUUGCAAAGUGCAGUGGGACCAUCACACUGAAGAGGAAGCCACUUAGGAACGCGAAGAUAAUCUUCGAGAAAACCACCCACACCUAUUUGCUAACCACACCGAAUCUCGAGGACUAGAUUCAUCUUAAGGGGGUCAGGUCUGUAACAUCCCAAAAUUUUCAAACUUUUACAUGUGCAUUGCAUCCAUAAGCAUCAUGCCACAAUUGCAUAUUUGAAUUCAAAUUUGAAUCUCAAAAGGCUUUGCAAAGAUUUUAUUUCAAUUUAAACCCUAAGGUUUACAACCAUUUGAGCUUUGGAUCUUCAAACCAAUAGGGUUUAUUUAUAAAAGGGGUUUAUUGCAUAAAUAAGCUAUCCCAUAAUUUUUGGAUAAUUAUUUGCAGUUGAAAAACUAUUUUAUUUAAAUAGUUAUAUAGCCCUAAAGGCAUUUAUAGGGCAAAUGUAUUUUUAGAUAUUUUAUUUUGAGGGAAAAUUACUCCCAAAAGUUGUAUCAUGAUAAAACAUGAUUUUACAAAUUUUCUGGAAUUUAUUUGGACCAAUUUGGGGCUCAAAAUCAAAAGAUAUCAAAGAAAUAAGAAAAACAGAAAAAGAAAAGGCUAAAAGAAAAAAAAAGGGGAAAACCGGACCGAACCGGCCCAGCUUCGCCCGAGCCGGCCCGAACCGGACCGACCCGGCGCCGCACGCGCACGCCCGAGCCACCGACAGGUGGAGCCCACCUGUCGGGGUCGUCUUCUCCGAGGGGAAAGCCCCGGAUUUCCGCCGCCCGCGCCGCCGCGCGCCGUCUCCGCCGCAAUCUCCUCCCCCCCGUCCUGAUUUCAUAGACCCGACCGCGUCCAUAUAGAGGCCACAGCCUCCUCUCUCUUUUUCCCCUAAACCCCCUCGCCACCACGCCGCCAGGCCGCCGGAAUACCUCGCCGGAGCAAGGAGUCCCCCGCCGCCGUUUUUGCUUCGGGUCAACACCACCGGUGAGCCUCUUCGCCCGAACCUUGCAAUUUCUGGACCGCAUCGUCCUCGCGCACGUUUUGACGCGUGCGGAAUUGUCCUAGGUGCGCCCUAGCAGCCAGAGCAGCGCCGACGACCUCGCCGGAGCCCGUGCCCUCGCCGCCGAGAGUCCCCGCAGUCCUAGACGUCGCCCUCGACCUCGUUUCGUCGCGCGGACCGCGUUACGGUCUUCACCUCAUCGCGCCGCACGCACCCGUGUCUUCCCUGAGCCGCCCGCGUCGCCGGAAUUGCCCGCGCUGCCGCCGCCUGUACCUGUGCCGCCGUCUCCCCCGUCUCCGGUGACCGCCGCCACCGCCAGGUAAACCAUGGCGCAUCUCAGCUGUCCAUUUCAUCCCAACGGCUAAGAUUAGAAGCCCUCGCGCCCUUUAAAACGAACCAGUAUCAUCCAAUGAGAUUGCGACACGUGGCACCUAUUUUAUAAAACAAAAAAUGUAAUUUAAUUCCCGGAAUAAUUAGAAAUGGCACUUUUGCAGAAAAGCCCCCAAAACUUCAAAUGAUCAUAUUUUUUAAUCUGUUUGGCGAAAUUUGAUCAUCCACACCUUUCUAGAAUCCUUAAGAAAUGUAGAAUCUUUGGCACUGUCUGAUUUCAAAUUUGAAUUUUUGAAUCACAGUCAAUUUAUAGAAUAGGGUUUAGUGCCAUUUAAAUCAUAACUAAUUAUUUGGAAGUCCUUUUUAAAUGAAACCAGUGCCCAAAAACUUGUUUUAUUAUCCUCUGUCCAUUGGGACAGAGCAAAAAAUGUUUUGAACCGCUUUUGGUGUUGCGGCGUGACUCCCAGGUGUUCUAGGCUCGCGUCUCUAGCACGGUAUUGCCUAGGGCCAGCACGGUACCGUCGUUGAGCUAUUAUUCAACUUGUGGCAUUACUGUUUUGAAUUGUUGCUACAGAUAUUAGGAUACAGCCACCCAAAGCUCCACAUAUUCCUACACCGUGCGUUGACACCGCCUGGCAAUCGCUUUAUUCAAUCUUCCUGAGGUUUAAUCACAACGGUUGCUAGUCACCACCUGCUGCAGGGUAAGAACGGGUAAGAAUCUUGGUUUGCUUGACAGAUUACGCGUUCUCCGCCACUUGCCCGAAGCAUAUACACCCAUAUUGCUGUGCUUUUUGAAUACUAAUCAUGAUAGGUGGGGAGGAGACUUCAGAACCAACAAGCGCUGAAGUACAGGCGAACUUCACCAAGCUUUUGGACGAUCACAUGCAGGACGUCGACAAACGCUUUAAUGAUACGAUGGAACACCUUGGGGGCCUCGAAACAUCUUUCACCGACAAGCUUGACGCCAAAUUCCGGGAGUUGAUGGCGCGCUUGCCACAACCUACCGCCACUCGGGCUCCCCCUCUCCACGCAUUCGCAGGGCGGGCACAGCGUGUUCCCGUUCACCAAGGUCAAACCUCGACUGCUGCUGCUCGUGAGGAGCAACAUGAGGAGUCUUACGGGGACGACGAGUCCAAGGGCAAGCGAGAGGACGAGGGGGAAGUUCUACAACAGCCGCGUGGUCGUCCACGCCCCUACAUUCGCCACGCACGCCCGCAUGUGCCGCCGGUACGUGAUGAUGACCAUGUUGCGAAAUUAAAAUUGACUAUACCCAUGUUUGAUGGUAGAUAUAAUCCUGAUGCAUACCUUUCAUGGGAAUUAGAUGUACAACAACAUUUUACAUGCUUAAAUUAUCCAGAGGAUAGACGUGUUAGUGCUGCUACUUGUGAGUUCACUAGUUUUGCUUCCAUCCGGUGGACUGAAUAUUGUCGUGUUAAUUAUGCUAAUCCAGUCACUACAUGGGAUGCUUUGAAACGGGCCAUGCGAACUCGUUUUGUGCCACCAUCAUAUCAGCGUACCUUGCUCAACAAAUUAACACGUUUAGAUCAGGGCAAAAAUUCUGUAGAAGAGUACUAUCAAGAAUUACAAACUGGUAUGAUGCGUUGUGGCAUAGUGGAAGAUAAUGAAGCUUUACUUGCACGAUUUUUCGAUGGGUUAAAUAAGGAGAUUCAGACCAUUCUUCGAUAUAAGUCAUACCAUACUAUAACUCGUUUGUUCCACCUUGCUUGCAAUGCUGAAUGUGAAGUGCAGGAUCGGAGAGAGGCGACCCGAACUAACUUUUCUGCAGGGCGUUCUAAUUCUUGGAGAACAUCGCCUUCUUCGUCACGGGCUGCUGCACCAUCCACUUCCACGCCCACACCCACGCGAGCUACAACUACUACAUCGCCUCCUGCGCCGCAUAGGAACGAAGGCCGGGAACAUGUUGGCUCCAAAAUGGGAGGGCCCCUUCCGGGUAGUGCAGGUGACCAGGCGGGGGGCUUUCCGGCUGGAAACUGAAGAAGGCUUGCCGGUGCAAAAUAGCUGGAAUAUUGAGCACAUGCGCAAGUUCUACCCGUGAAGCGGCGGAGCCCAACCCACAGGUGAUGCCGCCGAAGCAUGCCUCUCGAACUAGUGUACCUGGGCAACCCCCGAUUGUAAACCACUAGUUGCUGUGAAUAAAGAUAAGUGCUUUCUCCUAAAUUGCAAGUUGCCUCGAUUAUUUGCGUAUUUUCUCUCCUUCUGUCUCCUGCUUUAGGUGGACAGAAGUAUCUUUCUAUCCUUGGUUAUUAACAGGGGGUUGCCAGAGCCUCGAAACGAAAACCUGUUGCUGGAUCACUCCGGCACGGGGUCAUGCCGUUGCCGGGCUCCCCGCAACAUGCAUCACGCAAACGCUGCGUCUUGGAAUAGAGGAGUGCUCACACCCAAGUUUGGUAUCGACCCUUCUGUGCUCGGGGGCUGGGAGGCAAGAGGGUUAUCCAUGUUGCCCCGUGUUUUCGUGAAUUUCGAAAAAAAUUUGCAGCAUCCUGGGCUUGGUAAGAAUCUGACACGCAGGAAAAAACGGAGUCGGGCGCACUGUACUGCUCGUGGACCACCCACGGGUUGUGGCGCUUAGCGGUGCCUUGUAGUGUGGAGCGACCGCACUUCAAGGUUCUCGCCGCACUUCGAGGCUCCUGCUUCAGGGGGGAGCCGUCACGUGUGCCGCGGCGACUUGGCGUGCGUGGUGGCGAGGUCCUUACCGCACUUCAAGGGGUGUGGCACCACGGGGGCCGCGGUGACCCGGCGCGUGUGGGGGCAAGCCCCCCCUCCCCCCCCCCCCCCCCCGCGCCUAUAAAAGGGCGUACCAACCAUGGAGCAGCUCAGAGCGAAGCCAAGGAGAUGGUUGCAAAGACGAGCGAGGCCGCGGAGACACGGUGGUGGUGCAUGCCAUCCGCGCCCGACGCCGAUGGGUGCAAUGCCGUCGUGCCCCUGCCACGUCCCUCCGCCAGAAAGCUUCAAGCCCAGGAGCGCCGCAGAGACGCGAUGGCAGCGCAUUCCUCCGGCGCUCGUCGUCGGCGGGCGCUGCCAUCGCGUCCUUGCCGCGCCUCCUCCACCACGCGGUACUAAGGUGAGGGUUGCCGCUGUGGUGGCGCAACCACAGCGUUCCUGCCGCAUCCCUCAAGUGGGCUUCUCUAAAGGCGAGGGUUGCCGCGGUGACGCUGUCGGGGUGGCGCCACCCGUGCUUGGCGCCGGUGUUGCCCCCGCCACAGCGUUCCUGCCGCAUCCCUCAGGCAAGCGGAUUCAAGAGCAAGGGCUGCCGCGGCGAUGCUGUGGGGGUGCAUGCCAUCAGUGCCUAGUGCCGAUGGGUGCACAGCUACAGCGCCCCUGCCGCAUCCCUUCGACAAGCAUACCAAGCACGGGAACAAACGGAAAGCUAAGUACAUGAACCUGGUCCGGGAACUUUCUAAUACUAAACGUUGGAUCGCUAGCGUGGCCCAAACCUUGCGUGUGGCUGGGGUGUUAGAAGGACGCUCGCGGGGGGAGUGCGUUCCUCGUGCGGCUGGCGGGUCCGUCCCGGGAGCGCAUGCUGGGGGGUGGCUACCCCGCAAGCGGAGUGGCUCGCCGCUUGUCGCACCAGUGGCACUCGGGGUACCACCCUUGCACGACGCGUGGGUCGCAUCCCUGGGUUCCCGGGAGGAUCUCACCUCGGGCGGCAGUGUAUAGGCUGCCCGGCAAGCCACCAGCCUGGAAGGGCUCGCGGGGCUUCGGGGAAUGUUCCCGCCUGGGCAUCUCUCGGGAAGUCACUCGCCGGGAGGAGGGGUUCCUGGGCGCAGGUUCCCGCUGUGAGGGCGGGGCCGAGCCGGCAGAGCAGCGACGCCACGUGGGCGCGCGCCAGGCACCUAGUGUGCAGUUUUUCCAGGGCAAGGAGUGAGGCGCACGGCGCAUUUAAUGAGCCGACAGGAGGGGCGUUACCCGUCUAGUCAGGCGAACAGUGGCCGUCCAGUCCUAUGUUUUAGGCCCUAGAUCCCUAGCCGCGGGGUUGGCACCCGUGCAUGCAUGCCAGCGCACCGAGGAGGAGCUGCCUAAGCUCCUUGCUCGCCACUUGUAAACCAUGCACCGUGGCACCUGUGGUAUCCCCUUGGGUAUAAAAGGAGGACCCCCACCAACGGUCAAAGGGUUCUUUUUUUCGUUGGUUCAUAGUUGUUUUGUUCGUUGGUUGCACGGGCAGUAGUCUAAAGUAGAAGAGAACACUUAGCCAAAAAGAGACCACUCGGGGGCUCCCCCCCGGCAACCUCUAAACAACAGAUUCCACAGCAAUACAAGCUCAGACAAGCAGGACGUAGAGUUUUACACCGCAAGGUGGCCCGAACCUGGGUAAAAAGUGUGUGCAUGUGCCCUUGGUAGCGUUCCUGGUGCAUUCCUUCAACUUCAGCAGCCAGAGCGGGGCCGAGGCCUGCCGACGGCGGCGCCGGCAAGGAGGAAGCCCAGGGAGGACGCGGCCAGGCCCGCAUUGGCAGGGAGUGCCCUCCCCGAGGACGGGACAAGGCUCGUGCCGAGGAGCAGCGCGAGUCUGACUACACUGGCGGCGACGAGCCGGGCUUCCAGGAGCCCCCCGGCGUCGCCUGCAUCCAUGGGGGAGCGUAAGCUCCCCCAUCUGAUAUGGACAUGCUAACCAUGGAUACGACCUUUGAUACCCUCAAUUCUAUAAUACUUGACAAGAUUUAUAAUCAGGUGAAUUCAAGUAGUAAUUGUUUUCAUUGUCAUACUUAUGAAGAGGCGGAGCUACUACUAUCUUGUCUCGUUUUAUUACGUAGGCAUCUUGUCGAGCUUUUCAAGUCCAAGGUCAAGAUGAGAUACGGUGGAGGCGAACGGAAGGGCCAACAAGAAUCAAGCAUUCAUACAGCUGAGAGGGAAGGAUUUCAAGUGUACUUUCCAACAAAUCAAACGGCACAUGAUUCGGAGCUUGCUAGAGAAAGAUAUCACGAAUUAAAGUUGAAUCCGAUUCGGGUCCGAGCUGCCAGGAGACCCGAAUUUGUUUUAAUCACCCAGGCCGCAUCCGGAGUCCAAAUCAAGCAAACAAGUACUUGUUGGAAAGGUAAUUACAAGACCUUUCCAACGGAUCUGGCCCCAUCAAGAGAUUCGACUCGUGCUGACCGUGACGGACAAAACAAGCUGACGGAUCUGUUUUUCUGUUUCCUAAAGAGUUGUAGUUUGUUAGGAAAGUUAGAGAUAGAGUUGGAUUUCGGACUCCUUAUUCAAGGUGGACGAAAAUAUCUCUCCCUCCUCCUUUAUAUACCCCAUGAGCCCCCCUAAGGAGCCUUGGGUUUUGAUUAGAUAAAGUUUAGCCAUCUUUGCUACUUUCGUGUAAUCGCGUGUGUCGGUUAGACCACCUGUUUUACCGUCGUCAAGACUCCAACUUAUCGUCUCGUUAAGACAUUGGUUUGAUAUAGUAUAUUCGCAAUUUUAGAUUGCAUCCGCUAUUUAUCUUGUUCUUGCUUGUUCUUCGAUUGCUUGCAGGAACAAAGACCUUCGUGGUCAGGUUGAUCGUGUCCCCGCGUGAUCAAUAACCCUUUGGAGUUGGUGUAUCGAUUGCUAAGGCGCUGCCUCCUAGGCCGUAGUCGGAUCGUCAACGUCACCUCCUACCCAAAUCGAGAGUUACCAAUCUCAUCGAAAGAUCGGGCCACCCGCACCCGUAUCACCAUCCCAUGCCGCGGUGAAGCGCCUCACCCGUGACGUGCGCGCAUUGUUGCCGUACGCGGAGCCGCAGCAGCCGCUAAGGUGGUCGCACGUGCUAAGGACCUUCAGCGCCGACGAUCACCCAGCGCGGCAGCUGGGUUCCGGGGUCAUACCCUUCGAGGUCUCACUGAUCAUCAGCAACAUGACGGUGACCAAGGUGCUGGUGGACAACGGAGCGAGGUUAAACCUCCUGUCCGCCAGGUUGGUGGAGAAACUCCAGUUGCCAGUGGAGCAGCUGAAGCCCACCGACCCGUUCGGGGGAGUAAACCCCGGGUUCGUGCGCCCCCUCGGGUCCCAGGAAGCGUUCAGGACUGAGCACAUAGUGUUCGGCGUGGCGCACACCCCGUUGCCCUACAACGGGAACCUUGAUCAGCCGGCACUGAUCAAGUUCAUGGCAGCGACGUAUUGCACCUACGGCGUGAUGAAGAUGCCGUCCGUAUACGGAGUCCUCUCCAUCAGGUGCGACCUCAAGGACGCGGCCUGGUGCGUGGGCGAGGCUGUCAGGGCCGCCGCCGCAGCCGACGCCGGGGACGAGGAUGUGGCCGGACACGGAGGCUCGCCGGGUGAUGGCCCGGCAACGAAGAAGGCCCGCGCUGCCCCGCAAGAGCUUGCCGGGGGAAGCGCAGGCUCGAACUCAUGCCCCGGCAAGGGCCAGAAGCUCCGGGAGGAGGCCCCUAAGGUGAAGAAGCUGCCCCUCCAAGCCGGCAACAAGGAGCGCACCGUCAUCGUCGGUGCGAACCUUACACCUGAAUAGGAAAGCGCCCUCAUCACUUUCCUCCAGGAGAAUGCCGAUGUGUCCGCUUGGGAGCCGUCGGAUCUCCCCGGAGUCCCUACGGAGGUGAUUGAGCAUCGACUCGCGGUGCGCGCGGACGCCUGCCCCGUCAAGUAGAAGAUUCGACGGCAAGCGCAGGAGCGCAAAGAUUUCAUCAAGCAAGAGGUGGACAAGCUCAAGGCUGCCGGGGUUAUCUGGGAAGGUUUUUACCCCACUUGUUUAGCUAACCCCGUAGUAGUGCCGAAGGCGGGGAAUAAGCUUCGCAUGUGCGUAGAUUUUACUGAUCUAACCGUGCAUGUCCCAAGGAUCCUUUCCCUGUACCCCGUAUCGAUCAAAUAGUUGAUUCCACCGCUGGUUGUGACUUGCUGAGCUUCCUAGAUGCUUUUUCCGGCUACCAUCAAAUUAAGAUGGCGGUCGAAGACGAGGAGAAAACGGCGUUCAUCACCGCGGCUGGCUGCUACUGUUACACGUGCAUGCCUUUCGGGUUGAAGAACGCGGGUUCAACUUUGCAGCGCGCGUGGUAAGAAUCUAAUGUGCAGGGUAAAGGCGGAAUCUUGCGCACUGUAAUGCUCAUGGACCAUCCACAGGGUCGUGGCGCGUAGCGGCGCCUUGUGGUGCGGAGCGACCGCAUCACGGGGGACUCACCGCACUCCGAGGCUCUUGACCCAGGACGAAGCCGCCACGUGUGCCACAGCAACUUGGCAUGCAGAGUGACGAAGACCGCAUUGUGCUGGUGCCACGGGUGUUGCGCUGGCCCGUCGUGCACGGUGGCAAGCCCUUCCCCCGCGCCUAUAAAAAGCGCGCCCCGGCCAUAGAACGUCUCAGAGUGAAGCCAAGGAAGAGGUUGCGAAGGCGGGCUGUGCCGCAGAGACGCGAUGGUAGUGCAUGCCAUCGGUGCCCACACCGACGGGUGCACUGCCAUCACGCCCUUGCCGCAUCGCCCCACCGAGCCCACUCCGAGGGGCGUCGCAGAGACACGGUGGGGGUGCAUCCCACCGGCGCCUGGCGCCGGCGGGUGCACUUCUGCAGUGCUCCUCUAGAGGGCGAGGGCUGCCGCAGAAGCACUGUGGUGGUGCAUUCCAUCCGCGCUUGGCACUGACGGGUGCACUGCCGAAGUGCUCCGGCCGCAUCCCUCCAGAGGGUAUCUCCGCAAGGAGCGAGGGGUGUCGCGGAGACACUAUGGUAAUGCAUGCCAUCGGCGCUCAGCGCCGACGGGUGCACUGCCGUAGUGUCCCAGCCGCACCCCUCCAGAGGCGAGGGUCGUCACAAGGAUGCUAUGAUGGCGCCGGUGCCGGCGUUCGCUGCGGCCCCCCACAGCGUCCCUGCGGCGUCCCUCUGGCAGAUUUUCCCCAAGCAGCGAAGGAUGCUGUGGGGACGUCGUGAUGACCUCGCCACCCGCGUGCCGGUGGCGGCAAGGAAGUCACGACGUCCCUGCUGCAUCCCUUGGGACAGGUUCCUCCGAAACCAAGGGCUCUCCUAAAGGCAAGGGUUGUUGCGGAGAUGCGGCGGUAGUAUCGGUGUCGGUGCUUGACGCCGGCGGCAAUCCUGCGGCGGCGUUCCCGCCGCCUCCCUCAAACAGGCUUUCUCAAGGGCAACAUACCAGGCGUGCAAGCAAACGUUCCGAGCAUGAGACCGAACGAGAAGCUAAGUGCUUGAACCUGAACGAUAAACUCUUUAAGAAUUGAACGUAACUGAACGCUGCCUCACUAAGGGUGGCCCCGGAACCUACGUGUGGCCGAGGUGUUAGGAGGACGCUUGCGGGGGGAGUGCGCUCCCCGUGUGGCCUCCGGGUCCGUCCCAGGAGGGCAUGGCUUGGAGUAGUUACUCCGCAAGUGGAGUGGUCGCGCGCUAUUUCUUGACCCCAGGUCGGCACUGCGGGUUCGUCCUGGGUCCCUGGUCUGGUCAAGAGUGAGGCGCGCGAGUCCCCGGCAACACGAAGCACACCACAGAAAGGCAAAGGGACCCACCCUGCGAGGCAGCCCCGGGAACAGGGAGCAAGGAUUAAGCAGAACUAAAAAGCUUGAUUAACUAAGUACCGAAUGAUUACAUUAACUAAUGAAAAUGUAAUUGUUCAAACGGCGCCAAGCGCCACACUUGCAGGGUGAAAACGAAAGAAGGUAAACAAGAAAACGGCAAAGGCCGGCAGGAGGCUGCGGCAACUAGUUGCCGGCGUCUUCUGCCGGGGGCUCCGGGGACGGCUCGGGGUCCGGCUUCCGCUGCAUCCGCUCGACCACCUCGUCGAUGAACCCACACACGGCCUGAGUGUGGGUGGGCUUGUCCUUGCUGUCCGACUAGGCGUCCAGCAGCGUCUCGAAGGGAAACUCCGGGUCCCGGAGGUGUAUCCUCUGAAGGAUCGUCCCAGCAACUUCCCGGGCACAGUUGGCAACCUCGUUGGCGCCAAACUGGGCGAUCCCGACGUCGAGUGCCCCGAACUUCCCCACCAGAUCGGAGAAGAAUGGGAUCAGCGUCGAGACAUCCGUGCCGUCGACCUCCGCGGCCUGCAGCUCAAACCGGGGCAGCAGGCCCCGCAGUGCCUGGGCGAUCUUGAGCAGCUUCUCAGUCUCCAGAUGCCGCUCCCCGAUCAGCGUGCCGUGGUGGAGCCGGGCGUCGUGCGCGGCCUUCUUGGCCUUGCGGAGGUGGCUCUCCAGCGUCGCGAGCUCCGCGGCCUUGGCUACGUUGUCCUUGCCGGCCUUGGCGAGCUCCUCCUGGACAGUAGCCAGCUCGGGCUCGAGCCGGGGCGCUCUGUCCUUGGCGGCGCUGAGCUGGAUCUCGUGCCGGGCCGCCGCGCCGGCCGCGCCCAGCGCGCCUUUGGUCGCCUUGACCUGUACCUCCAGCUUGACGCGCAGGCCCUGGUUCUCACCGAGGUAGUUGGCGAUCAGAUCGCUCUUCUCGCCGAUCCGAGCCUCGGCUGCAACGAGCACCUCGGCGUGCUCCUUCUUGGUUGCCGGUUGAGCCGCCACGAGCGAGUCCACGGCCCCCUGGAGCUCGGUGCGCUGGGCCUCCAGCCGCCGGUAAAGCUCCUCCUCGGGGAUGACCGGUGUGUCGGCAUUCUCCAGGGCUUCCAGGGCAAGGCGCGCCUCCUCCCUGGGAAGGCGCGUCUCCUUCCGCAGCCGGGAGAGUUCCUGCCGCUCCUUCUCCACGGCUUGCCGCAGCUCGCCAAGCUGGCUCUUGGCGAUGGCGUGAUGCUCCCUCACCUCGUUGAAGGAGGUGACGAAGGCCAGUUGCUGGUCCUUGACGGCGUCGAGGAACCGGUGCCCUCGGUCGAAGACACUCGGAUCCCAGGUGAUGGGAUUCCAAGCCACCGUGGCAAGGGUGCCGAGGUCGGUGUUGAAGGAGGCAGCCGAUGACGAUGAAGCCCCAGCCACCACCUUAGAGCUGGGCGAGGGGUCGCCCGCCUGUGCCGGAGCGUCCUGUCGCUCCUCCCCGGCAACCUCCCUCUCACCCGCGCCCGGGGACUGCAGGGCUGGUGAGGCUGCCGCGCCCCCGGCAGGGACCGUCCCCUACUAGGCGGCAGAAGAAUCCACGCCAGCAGCGUCCGCGGCUGCAGGCGCGUCGCCGGGCGCCAUCCCGGGGGCGGCGGUGUUCACCGCGGCCGCCGUGGCCGGCGCAAUCGGGCUUGUUGCGGUGGCCACUUCCGGCUCCUCCGCCACCCCCGUGACCUCGACGUCGGAGUCGAGGUCAACCACAGCAGCACCCGCUCCCGGUGCAGGUACACUUGGGCCUGCAGCGGCGAGAAGUGUGAGAAGCGGGAAGCUAAAAAGUUGCCCAGAGGCGGAUAAGGGGGCUUAGGAUGGUUACCUUGUAGGGCCGUUGGGCUUGCGGGGGGAGCCUCCCCUCAUCCUCCGUCCCGGCAGGGGUCUCUAGGAGGCUUGCUGCGGGUGGAGUGUCGCCUACGGCGAGAGAAGGUUCAGUUACGUGGUUAGCUGAGAAUCGAAAGUAAAUGGAAAGGGGGCAAGAAGGAACUGCAGCUGUUGCCGGUGCCACCUCCGUUGGGGUUGGGUCACCGACAGGUGCGAUGGUGGCGCUAAUGGCCCCAGUGCCGGCCGGGUCGGCAGCGCUGCCGGCAUCCGCGCGUGCCUUCUUGCUAGGCGCAGCAGGCGGGGAGUCAUCCCUCCCCCUCUUGCUGGCGCUCGCCGACGAAUCGGCCCUUGAUGGAUUGCGCCGAAGCGUGUCAUCGCACGGGUCUCCGACACCAGGGGCGUGCUGGCACACCCCCUUUUAGGUUCGGCAGGGGCGUUGAGGAUCGCUCCGGUGAUCGCCGGUGUGGCCGAUGGCGUACGUAGCCUGAAAAGAGGCACACCUUAGGUACAUGCAAGUAGAGAACACAUGCACGAGCAUUUUUACCCAGGUUCGGGCCACCCGGAGGUGUAAAACCCUACGUCCUGCUUGUCUGAGCUUGUAUUAACCAAUGAACAAGAGUUUACAGGUUGCCGGGGGGAGUCCCAGGAUGCUCUCCUUUUUGGCCAAGUGCUCCUUGCUACUCUCCGCUAAUGCUAGAGGCUAACUGUGAGCCGUCGAACCUAGAACCAACUAAAAUCAGAACCGAACCCUUUGACUGUUGGCAGGGGUCCUCCUUUUAUAGCCAAGGGGAUGCCACAGGUGCCACGGUGCAUGGAUUACAAGUGGCGAGCAGGGAGACAAGGCAACUCCCCCUCGGUGCGCCGGUGGCAUGCAUGGGUGCCAACUCCUCAGCUAAGGGUCUAAGGCCUAAGAAUUAGCCCUGGACAACCACUGUUUACCUGACUAGAUGGGUAACUCCUCGCCCUGGCGGGACUGCGCACGGGAUGCCUGACGCGCGCCCACGUGGCGCUGUUACUCUGCCUGCUCGGCCCCGCUCUCACGAUGGUGGCUUCCCAGGAGGUGGCCAGGCGGGAAUAUUCCCCGAAGCCUCGCUAGCCCUUCCGGGCUGGGGGCUUGCUAGGCAGCACGUUAAGUGCUUCUCGGGAUGAUGCCUUCCCGGGAACUCGGCGAUGCGACCCACGCGUCGCGCAACGGUGGUACCCCGGGAGCCACUGGUGCGAUAGAGCGCGAAGCCCCGGAAGACCCCCCGAGCAGGCGGAACCAUGGUUGCCCGUGGUGUUGCCGCGUCCCGGGGCACUGCGGGCACCGACGACGAGGCCGCCGCAACGGGCCUUGGCAGCCACUACUGAGGUAGCCGCCACCGGGUCGCUGGCGGUCACUGCCGGGGGGGUCUCCGCCGUGGCUCCGAUGACCGCCACGGGUGCGGUCGCUGCCGAAGUGCCGGCGGACGCCUCUAGGGUGGCUGCCGCCGCUGGAGCCAAUCGUCAGCCAUAAUAGGUUCAGUGGAGCUGAAAAACGUGGGCGGGCGCAAACGCAGAAAUCUGGUCAGCAUAUCCACUUGGGGUGGGUGGUGCUGCUGGUUGUUGUGGUUCUGCUGAUUGUUGUUGUUGUUGUUGGCCAACUGUUGGGUGAUCAUCUGGAAGAAUUGGGUCUGGGCGGCUAAUAACUGCUGUAUGGUGGCAGCAUUCCCUUCCGCGUUGGCAUUGUUAGCCUCGGCGUUGUUGGCGGGGUUCCGGCGUCUCGGAGGCAUCUGUUUAGGGUAGCAUAGAUGAGGAAACAGAUAGAAUAGAGCUAAGGAUAACUAAACCCCCAAACAAGAUAUUACUCAAGCAUAUAUCAAUCAUACACUCAUCAAUCAAAAGGUUUUGAAAAAUCAUAGCAAAACACACUUGUUUAUGGCGGGACAUUGCCCAUAAAGAAAAGAGUACGAGGAGAAAACAAUCGACCUACAUUGCCAUACACAUAGAUUGUAUGGUCAAUGACUAACUCGCAAUGCUGAUAACGAUAAAACUAAUAUAAGCUGGUAGGCAUCAAUAGAUCUAAGGGAGUGUGGCUGUCGGUGUGGUCCCGUUCGCCUUCAUCUUGGAGCGGGUGUUGGUUGCAAGGGUGUCCAUCUCGUGGACCUCCUGGGGCUCCUCCUCCUCAGUCGGUUCCUCCUCCUGAGGCUCCAUCUCCUGAUCCUGUGGCGGAGGUGGGAACUGGACGGGCGCCGGUGCUGCAGCUGGUACUACUGCGGCUGCGGCUGCGAUGAACGCCUGGAACUGCUCGCAGUAGUAGCGAGCCUGGUCCCUCUCAUACUGCAGCUGCUCGAUGGCGUCUCCCAUGUUGAGGACAGUGUUCUCCAACACGGCCUUGUCCUCCAGCCACUGGGUCUUCUCUCCCAGUAGAUUACCAACCUGCUCCUCGGCUAGGUUGGCCCUGGUCACCUCGUGCUCGAGGCAAGACUCCAAGUCCACGGUGUUUAUCUCCAUGUUCUCGAAGUGGGUCGUCACUGGGGUUGCAUCCUCGUCGUUGGUCGUAGCCACUGCCGAGCAUGCAUGGUUCCGCCUUCCAAAGAGGAGGAAGGGGGAGUCCUCGGGGAACUCAUGCCGAUAGUCCCGGCACACCUGUGCGAAGGCGCACUGCAUGGCGAACUGAAGGCCCUGCUCGAAAGUGGGGUAGCGGCUGAUGAAGGUGAUAUCCGGCGUAGCUGGCGCGAUCUCACGCCCGCGGAUCUUUCGCCUCGAUCUCCCACCGUGGCUGCCAUCCCUCGGGUGCGGCGGUCUCGACUCGGCCUCUGAACCUGGAUGGUGGCAGGUCGAGGAACGCACACAGUGCCGCCAAAGGGGCACUGAACAGCUGGUCGUCGUCCGUGGAGGGGUAGUAAACUCUAGUGAACGGCGGGACGUUGCCAAAAGGUGUUGGGCUUCCCAUCUAUAGAAAAUAAAGAAGGAGAUAAGGAAGUAUCAGUGACAUGAUUAAAUGGUCGAAUGUAAGUAAAAAUAAAAUACAAGUGGUAGAGUGGGAAUCAAGUGAUAAACAUUAAUAUCAUGGGUGGGAAUGUAAAUAUAAAAUUGGAUGCAUACUAACAUGUGAACAACAUGGCAACAUGAUUAUAGUGGUGUAUGGUGAAAAAAAAUCAAAUUUGCAUCUGUGGUAUAAUAUAAUAAACAUGCAUAUGUGGUAAUAAGCAUAGUAUUCGAUGUAUAUGUGGGAUAAAACAGUAAACAUGUCAUGCAUAUGCAAGAUAUAAAUGCAAAGAUUUAAAUGAAUAGGGAUAAGGAAUAAAAUACAUGUAUAUAUAUAUAUAUAGAUCAGAUAGGGAUAAGAAAUAAUCCUAAGGUCGGGUCUUUGGUCUUGUCUUAUCCUAAUCCAACUUAGGGUCACGUUCCUACAGGCAACACAUUGCUCUGAUACCAUCUGAAGCGAUCCCCCUUCACCAAGGAUUCGAUCUCUGUGCUUACUUGUGCUAGUCCCUGGAUCGACUCACUAGCACACACAGUUCAAGAUGUAAUACCAAGAUACAAAGGUCAAAAGUACUUUAUUACAUCGUAUCAUCCAGAACUUAAAUUGUACUUACAAAUUUGCAUGACCUCCUAGGCCAGCAUAAACAAAUAGUGUUCAAAACCAUGAUAGCAAUGUAUCAUGAAACUGCAGCGGAAAGGCAGAGUAAAAGGGCCUCAUCUACUCCCAGAGGAGAGAGCAUGUUGGAAUGUAAACACAUGACCCAAAGAAAUAUCGACGAACCUCACUCUUCGUCAGUUUCACCUGCAUUAUUAAUUGCAGCCACUACGUGGUCAAUACAUUUGAAUGUAUUGGCAAGCUCACUAGAGUUAUAAAGGACCUACCAAAUACAUGCAUAGUUUGGCUAAGUGGGGUUUGGCUAGUUUGCAUAAAAGCAUCAUUAUUCAAUUCCUAUCAUUUUUAGACAAAUAGUUUUGAAUUAUAUUGGACACAGGGUAGAAACACCCAUGCUCCUAUUAACCUAGGCACAUUGAGUAGAAACAUCAAUGCUCCUACGCAGUUCAAACCAUUCAUUUUAUUAGGAAAUUGGAAUGAAUGAGACCUUCCUUACAGCCCCAAUAUCUAGUUGCUCAUAAUUGUCCGUAACCGGGGACACGGCUAAGUACUUAGUUGACACUCUCGAGAGGUGGUACACUUUACCCACAAGAAAUCGACGUGUUAAUCCCUUGCCGUCCUCCAGAUGGAGUAGCAACGGCAUCGAUUACAGGAAUUUUCAGAACAUAUUCCCCCAAACCACCUGAGGGACGCGUUCCAACCUACACUGCUACAUACCGAUGUCACCUCGGAUCCAGGUUCAUAUUUCUUACAUCCAUCCUGGCAGAGCCCAUAAUACCAUGUGGUUGUACUGGAAGCUACUAAACAGGAAACUAGUCCAGUCUCUGGUUAUCCCGGGUGGCAUCCCACAUUGUGACGCAGGCGCUCCCCGAAUCGCACGGGGAGACGACCAUGGACGCUCCCGAAUCACACGGAGAGACGACUCAGCGGGCCCCAUAGAAAUGGACCUAACGUCACUACAUCCGAAUACUCAAAGCAGUCCACCCAGGACGGUUCAUUGAAUUACUUGUUUUGCCAUACACUAGGAAAAUUAUAUUGUAAUUCAAUAGUAUCACAUUGUAAUAAUACCACCUUCGUAUAUUAUCAUAGCAUAGCAUUUUACUACUACGAUGGCAAUUGGUGGUAAGGUCAUGACAAAGGGUAUCCUGUACUACUAGGGCAAAUCAUAUCUAGCAUAGGUACAGUAAUAAUCCUAACAAUGCAACUAAUAAAAUGUAGUGCAUAAUAAAAUAAUGGGUAAAUGAUCAAAGUGAACUUGCCUUGAUAGUAGUUGGUAUUCAAACACUCUUCGCAAUCACACAGUUCGCUCUCCGAGAAAACUAUACAAUCAAGCAAACAUACACAUACAUAAACACACCAUACAAGAAAAGAAAAUGUAUGCCAUGAUGCAAUGCAAAACAUGUGACAUGAGUUUGGUUUAUUUUAUUUGGGUGAUCUACUGAUCCAAGGCCUUGAGAAUUAAGCACAUGCAAUUAGGGUUUUUAAGCAAAAGCAAAGGCUAGGGUUUAAACCCUAAAAUGAGGUUUUAUUGGCAUCAGCCAAAUAUAUUAGUUCAAAAUAUUUAUUUCUCUGUCCCAUUGGACAGAGGACAAUAAAAAAAAAAUUGGGCACUGGUUCCAUUCAAAAAGGACUUCUAAAUAAAUAGUUAUGAUUUAAAUGGCAUAAACCCUAAUCUGUGAUUUGAAUGUGAUUCAAAAAUUCAAAUUUGAAUUUGGACAGUGCCAAAAGAUUCUACAUUUCCUAAGGAGUCCAAAAAGGUGUGGAUCAUUAAAUUUGGCCAAACAGAUUAAAAGUUAUGAUCAUUUGAAAUUGCAGGGGCUUUUCUGCAAAAGUGCCUUUUAUUAAUUCCGGGGGAUUAAAAUUACAUUUUCACUUUAUAAUUCCGGGUGCCACGUGUCAGCAUCUAAUUGGUGCGUACCGGUUCGGUUAAAAAUUAAAACGGGAUCUAAUCUUAGCCCUCGGAUCCGGAUCGGACGGACGAGGGGAGUUCUAGGGUUUACCGGCGGCGGCGGCAGUCACCGGAGACGGAGGGGAUGGCGGCGCUAAGCGGUCGUCGCGGGGGUGGCCGGGGACGGCGCGGCGCGGCACGGCGGAGACGGGGGCGCGGUCGGCGUGGGCUCGGGCGGCGCGGGUCGUCGCCUAGGACGAAGACGGGCGGGCGGCGCGGGCGGCGGACGGCGGCGCGGCCUCGGGUGUCGUCGGUGGGGAGCUGCAGCGCACGAAAAGGAAAAAGAAGCGCGUCAUCUUGACCGCGAGGGAGAGAGCGGGACGGCUUCGAGUUUUACUCACGGAGCUCGUCGGCGUGACACGAAGACGGCGACGACGCGGGUGCGGCUCCGGCGAGGGAUUCCGGCGGCCUGGCGGCAUAAUUGAGGGGGAGGGCAGAGGGGAAAAGAGGAGGGGGCCGCGGGGUUUAAAAGGACGCGCUCGGCCAUUCAAAAGGAAGGGCGGAGGAGGAGAUCGCGGGGGCGAGUGCGCGGGGACGGCGGCCGGGAGUCGCGGCGGCGGCGCGGGGCUUUCCUUCCGGGGAAGAAGCCCCUGACAGGUGGGCCCCACCUGUCAACGGGUGCGGGGGUGCGCGAGGGGCAGCCGGGCGGGCGAGGCGGCGCGCGCGCGGUCGGGCGCGGUCGGUCUGGGCCGGUUCGGCCCAAAAUGGGCGGGCCGGUCCGUUUGCUCUCUUUUUUUUUUCUUUUACCCUUUUCUUUUUCUGUUUUUCUUAUUCCUUUGAUAUCUUUUGGUUUUGAACUCCAACUUGGUCCAAAUAAAUCCCAGAAAAUUUGUAAAAUCAUGUUCCACCAUGAUACAACUUUUGGGAGUAUUUUCCCCUGAAAAUAAAAUAUAUAAAAAUACAUUUGCCCUAUAAAUAACUUUAGGGCUAUAUAUCCAUUUAAAUAAAAUACUUUUUCAACUCCAAAUAAUUAUCCAAAAAUUAUGGGAUGGCUUAUAUGUGCAUUAAACCCCUUUUAUACAUAAAACCUAUUGGUUUGAAAAUCCAAAGCUCAUACGGGUGUAAACCCUAGGGUUUAAAAUGAAAUAAAGAAUCUUUCCAAAGCCUUUUGAGAUUCAAAUUUUGAAUUCAAUUAUGCAAUUGUGGCAUGAUGCUCAUGGAUGCAAUGCACAUGUAAAAGUUUGAAAUUUUGGGAUGUUACACCCCGUGUACAUCCACGCAGGCCGGGAGUGCAGUUGGAGCGGCGCGACGCGCCGGGUGAUGUACGUGUGCGCCACGUCAACAUUGGUGAGCCCUGCCAGCCGCAAAGCCUUGAUCUUUUCCACGAUGGGGAGGAGAUCGGCGUCACGGCGGUACCGGACCCGCCAGCCGCUGUGGGGUUGCGGCAGCUCGGUGGGCGAGAGGAUGAACUCCUCGGGGUCUUCUACUCGGACCCAGCACCAGUCGCCCCGCCACUCCUUCUCGAUGUUUUUCUUCGACCGGACGAUGAACUCGGACUUCAUCCGGUCGCGGGCGCGAAACACCACCCCCGACGACAACGCGAUCGAUCUAGGGGUAGAAGUAAUGCCGAAACAGUGCCACCGACGGCAUCACCCUGACGAAUGCUUCGCAGAGGAAUUGGAAGAUGACGAGGAGGUAGAGAGACGUGAGGUGGAGCUGCGCCACUCGCAGCUGGUACGACUCCAUCAGCGCGUGGAGAAACAGGGAGAACGGCGACACCAGCCCGGUGAGGAUGAAGCACCUGAACACCCGAAAGUCAUUUUCCUGGUGGUCGGCGCCUGCGAGGAGGAUCUGGGUCUCCCCGUGCUCGUUGAACCCAGAGGCAACUGCGUGCCGGAUCUUGGCCAGCGCCUCGCUGUUGUAGCCGCGUAGGUAGAAGGCGAGCGAGGCCCGCAUCGCCCACUUCUUCUGAUCGUUGUCGGCGGCGGCCUCGCUUUUGCUGGACGCCGCUUUCUUUGGGGCCUUCCCCUCCUUUCCCUUCCUGGUGGUGGGGGGCGCCAUGGGGAGCAAGAUGCGAAGAAGAUGGAAGACGAAGGUUGGGGAGAAAAGUGUUUUCCCCCCGCUACAAUAGUAAAAGCUUUAUAACACUCUAUCGUUUGGUAACAGCCGAUUCCGCACCCUACGGGUGCGUUGGGAUAAUUGCUAAUCAAAGGGAUAAUGCGGAGAGUGGCCUUAACUUCCCUAUUUAAAGGGGGGGUUAUGGCGGAAACCACGCACCCACUACUCCGUCCGUAAUGGCGGGGUGUGUGGGACGGCGAAGAGGCACGGGCCCAAGGCAAGUUGGGACCCACGCCGCCCGGCAACCGACCCAAGAAAAGUUCGUCCAGGAACAGGUGUUGCCGGCCCAUGCCCAGGGGCUACUGUCGCACCAGUGACACCCGGGGUACCACCGUUGCACGACGCGUGGGUCGCAUCGCUGGGUUCCCGAGAGGAUCUCACCCCGGGCGGCAGCGUAUACGAUGCCCGGCAAGCCACCAGCCCAGAAGGGCUAGCGGGGCUUCGGGGAAUGGUCCCGCCUGGGCACCUCCCGGGAAGUCACUUGCCGGGAGGAGGGGUUCCCGGGCGCAGGUUCCCGCCGUGAGGGCGGGGCUGAGCGAGCAGAGCAGCCAUGCCACGUGGGCGCGCGCCAGGCGCCUAGUGUGCAGUUUCGCCAGGGCAAGGAGUAAGGCGCACGGCACAUUUAAUGAGCCGACAGGAGGGGCGUUACCCGUCUAGUCAGGCAAACAGUGGCUGUCCAGUCCUAUGUUUUAGGCCCUAGACCCCUAGCCGCGGGGUUGGUGCCCGUGCAUGCAUGCCAGCGCACCGAGGAGGAGCUGCCUAAGCUCCUUGCUCGCCCCUUGUAAACCAUGCACCGUGGCACCUGUGGUAUCCCCUUGGCUAUAAAAGGAGGACCCCCGCCAACGGUCAAAGGGUUCGUUUUUUCGUUGGUUCAUAGUUGUUCAGUUCGUUGGUUGCACGGGCAGUAGUCUAAAGUAGAAGGGAACACUUAGCCAAAAAGAGACCACCCGGGGGCUACCCCCGGCAACCUGUAAAUAGCCGAUUCCAUAGCAAUACAAGCUCAGACAAACAGGACGUAGGGUUUUACAUUGCAAGGUGGCUGAACCUGGGUAAAAAGUGUGUGCAUGUGCCCUUGGUAGCCUUCCUGGUGCAUUCCUUCGCCUCGCAUUGGUCCCGCCGGCGAUCCCCGUAGCCCACUGCCGAACCUGAAAAGGGGGUGCCCGCGCAUCCCUGGUGUUGGAGCCCCGUGUGACGACACCGCUACCGUUUGACCCCAUGUUGGCACUGUGGGUCCGUCCCGGGUCCCUGGUCCGGUUAAAGUGUGCGGCGCGCGAGUCCCCAGCAACACAAGGCAUAACACACAAAGUUUAAGGGAUCCACCCCGCGAGACAACCCCGGGAACAAGAAAGGAGAACUAAGCGGAACCAGAGAACGAAAUUAAUAAAAGUAGUAAACAAUUACAUGAACCAAUAAGACAUUAAUUGUUUAAGCGGCGCACGGCGCCACACUUGCAGGAAUCAAAAGAAGAAAAAAA
rnacentral:lncRNA from 1 species